GGGGAGGGGGCUUAACGGCGCGGGCGGUAACAGAGGGAGGGGGAGGUCGACCGGGGUUCGACCGGCGGUGGGAAUCCGCAGCGGUUCUCCGUCGUGGGUCCGGUUCCGCGGCGGGGAGGUAGUGGUGCUCCACGGGCGGGGGCAGGCGAUCACAAGGGUGGGGUCAAUUUGACCGGCGGGGGCCUAGGGCGGCCGGUCCGCGGCGCAGUGGCGGGUGUCCACGGCGGUGAGGUCGCCAGUGAGGUUGCCGGGUGCAAUAGGAGGUGGGGAGGGGUGCCCUGUGACCGUGAGUGUGUGGCAGAGCUUCACGCACUGGUUAAUUGGACUGAUGUUCACUUGGAAGGGGGAAAUGGAGCUCACCGGAGCGACGGGGAAGCACGGCGGCGCUAGCUCGAUUGGCUCGGGGAGAAGCGGAGGAGUUGGCCGGAGCUGGUGUGGAGAGAAUGGGGCUCGGGCGGCUCCUUUUAUAGGCGCCCGGGAGAGGGGGAGGGAUGGAGGGGACGGCGAGCACCGACGAGCUCGCCAUGAUGGCGGGAAUGGAGCUAACGGCGAUUGGGACGGCUCGGGCAGACGAGGGUGAGGGGACGGCUCGGGCACAGUGGCGGGGUGGUCGCUGAGGCCGGUGCAAGCCUUAAUGGAGAGGCGACGGGGCGUGAGGCGCUCGGCGGCGAACGCGCCGGUGAGGCAUGGGCGAGACGACAGUGCUGACAGGCGAGCUCGGGCUGCCAGGGAGAGAGAGCGGCGCGAGAGGGAGGGAGUCGAGUCACUGACCGGUGAGGCUGAUCUGUCAGCGGAGGCGUGGGUGCGCGAAGUUGGGCCGCGUGGGCCGGGAGAGGGGGGGAGAAGCGCGGGCGCGACGCGGGUUGGGCCAGAAUCGGCCCAGCCGAGGGGGGGUUUCUUUUCUUUUUUUUCUGAUUUCUAUUUCUUUUCUUUUCCUUUUCUACUUUUGUUUCUUUUCACUUCUUUUUGCUUUGAAUCAAAAAUUUUCGAAAUGAUCUUGAGUGAUGAAUAUAGUCUAUGUGAGGUGCUCCUAUCAUUUCAAGUGUAUGCACAUGAUGAGAUGAUCUAAGGGUGGAGUUUUAGGGAGAAAAUAAAAUAAGAGGUGGGGGGGUUAGGAGGUUAGGGUUCCAAACCAUGGGUUGGGAUUUUUGGGAUGUUACAGCCUCGCCCGACCUUAGGCCUUGGCCUCGGAAGGAGGUCUUCGCCUCGCCCGACCCUAGGGCUCAGCCUCAACCUCGGCCUCGAAAGGUGGUCUCCGCCUCGCCCGACCCCAGGGCUCGGCCUCAACCUCGGCCUCGGGAGGAAUCGCGUCCUCACCCGACCCCGGCCUCGGCCUCAGGAGGAGUCUCCGCCUCGCCCGACCUUGGGCUCGGACCGACUGUGCCACAGGGGAUACAUCAUUACCCUACCCCUAGCUAGCUCAGGCUACGGGGGAACAAGACCGGCGUCCCAUCUGGCUCGCCCCGGUGACAAGUAAUGAUGGCUCCCCGUGUGCGUCCAUGAUGACGGUGGUUCUCAGCCCCCUACGGAAGCAAGAAGACGUCAGUAAGAUCGCAGCAGCACCGACAGCUGUGCUUCUACAGGGCUCAAGCACUUCUCCGACGGCCACGUUAUCGCCUACGCAGGGCUCAAGCACUUCUCCGAUAGCCACGUUGGCAUGUACACAGGGCUCAGGCACUUCCCUUCCAGACACGUUAGCGCCUAGCUACACCCCCAUUGUACACCUGGACCCUCUCCUUGCAUCUAUAAAAGGGAGGUCCAGGGCCUUCAUGCGAGAGGGUCGCGCGGGAGAACGAGCUAACGAACAGGCUCACUCUCUCUCGCGAACGCUUGUAACCCCUACUACGAGCACACCCCCUGGCGCGGGAUAACACGAGCCGCGUUUCCCCCUUGUGUUCCAUCUCGCGCCAACCCAUCUAGGCUAGGACACACAGCGAAAAAUUUACUCGUCGGUCUAGGGACCCCCCGGGGUCGAAACGCCGACAGUUGGCGCGCUAGGUAGGGGCCUGCUGCGUGUUAACGAACAACUUCCCGUUGAGUUCCAGAUGGGUAGUCUUCAGCAACCUCUUCAGCCCGGGAUGCCGCUCUGCUUCGGGAGCCUCAAGUUCAUGUCCCUCGACGGCAGCUACGACAUGGUACUCCUCCCCUCGCAGCGCGACAGCAACAACGAUGGCCGUCAGCUCGCCCGGCGGCGGCGAACUCGACGACGUCUUCCCCCCGUGGCGGAGGAGCAGCAUCCGGGUUUGUCCCGCCACCCUCCUCGCCGCAGAAGGAGGAGACGGGGCAACCGUGGCCAUGCAGGAGGCAGCGCCUCGUCGGCUGUCGAGCGAGUCGACGACACCGAUGCCCCAGCGAGGGACAUGUCGGGCGUUGUCCUCGCGCUUGAGACAACGACAGAUGUCGUUUCCCCGCAACGUGCCAUCCCUAAGCGGACAGAUGACGCCAGCACACUCGCGAAGGGCUUGCUGGGCGUUAGCCUCGUACCUGAGAUAACAGUGUAGUUCGUCCCCAACGCGACUUCAUCACCGUCCAUCGAUCAAGAGGUACCGUCCGUUUUCCACCCUAUGCCUUUUAGAUUCAGCUUCGAUCCACCAAGCGACUCCGCUUCGGUGAGCGCUUUCGUAAAGGCAUAUCCUAACCUUCCGGGGUACCAUAUUUGGUCAUCUUGGGACCGACUGAUGGCCGUCUCAACCUACGGGCCCCUGAGUUCCGAGGAAGAGGACGGUCCUGACUCCGGUUGGGAUUUCUCUGGGCUCCGCGAUCCUAGUGCCAUGCGAGACCUCAUGACCGCAUGUGACUACUACCUCUCCGAUUGCUCCGAUGAUGGCCACAGCCUCGACGACGAGGGUUGUGGCCCAAGUCGCGAAUGUUUCCACGUCGAUCUAGGGGGUCACGACGAAGGAAACCACCUCGGUAUGCUGGAGGAUGACGAUCCCCUGGGCCUGCGCCUCGCGUUGACAUCCUGCGGGAGCUAGCUGUGGUCCCAGUCCCUGUGGGGGGUCAGGACACACAGCUCGAGCAAAUCCGCGAGAUGCAAGCCAAGCUCGACGAGGAAGCAGGGCAACUUGUGCAACUCCGGCAAAACAUCGAGCAGGAGUGGGCAGGCCGAGCACUCGCCGGAGAAGCGCGUCAUCAGGCCCGAGACGUCUAGCACCGUAUCGUUGACGAUGCCAGGGCAAGGCUGCCCCCGGCCUCCAGCGGGGUCGGCCAGAAUCUAGCUGCAGCGGCAAUACUACUCCGAGCAAUACCGGAGCCAUCCACCACCGAGGGGCGGCGUAUCCAGGGAGAACUCAAGAAUCUCCUGGAGGAUGCCGCGGUCCGACGGGCCGAAAGCUCUGCCUCCCGAAGGCAAGGGUGCCCCCUGGAGCAUCGUGCAACGACUUCCCGACUCACGAGGGAGGCCUCAGUCCACACCGGGCGCACGCGGGACACGACGCCUGCAGCCCCGGGUCGCCUCGGCAACGAGCACCACCGCCGCGACCAUCGAGCCCGCCUUGACGAGAAGGCGCGCCGAGGCUACCACCCCAGGCGUGGGGGACACUACAACAGUGAGGAGGAUCGGAGCCCCUCGCCUGAACCACCAGGUCCGCAAGCCUUCAGCCGGGACAUACGACGGGCGUCGUUCCCAGCUCGGUUCUGGGCCCCGACUACCAUCACCAAGUACUCUGGGGAAACAAGGCCGGAGUUGUGGCUUGCGGACUACCGGCUGGCCUGCAAGCUGGGAGGGACGGACGAUGACAACCUCACCAUCCGCAACCUCCCUCUGUUCCUCUCCGACGCUGCCCGGGCCUGGCUGGAGCAUCUGCCUCCCGCGUAGAUCUCCAACUGGGACGACCUGGUCAAGGCUUUCGCUGGAAACUUCCAGGGCACGUACGUGCGCCCUGGGAACUCCUGGGAUCUCCGAAGCUGCCGCUAGCAGCCAGGGGAAUCCCUGCGAGAGUACAUCCGACGGUUUUCAAAGCAGCACACCGAGCUGCCCAACAUCACCGACUCGAAUGCCGCGACCUAGUGAGCAAACUGGGCUGCAAGACUCCCACCAAGGCGAGCGAGUUGAUGGACAUCGCCACCAAGUUCGCCUAUGGUCAGGAGGCGGUUGAAGCCAUCUUCCGGAAGGACAAGCAGCCUCAGGGACGCUAGCAGGAAGACGUCCCCGAGGCGUCCGCCCAGCGGAGCACGAAGAAGAAGGCCAAGAAGAAGGCGCAAGCAAAGCGCGACACCGCAGACGCGGAUCUCGUCGCUGCUGUCGAACACAGGAACCCACGAAAGCCUCCUGGAGGGGCCAACCUGUUCGACAAGAUGCUCAAGGAGUCGUGCCCCUACCACCAGGGUCUCGUCAAGCACACCCUUGAGGAAUGCGUCAUGCUUCGGUGCUACUUCCAUAAGGCCGGGCCACCGGCAGGAGAUGGCAAAGACCAAGACAACGACAAGAAGGAGGGCAACAAGGCAGAGGAGUUCCCCGAGGUCCAUAGCUGUUUCAUGAUCUACGGUGGGCAAGUGGCGAACGCCUCGACUCAGCACCGCAAGCAGGAGCGCCGGGAGGUCUGCUCGGUAAAGGUGGCGGCACCAACCUACCUAGACUGGUCUGACAAGCCCAUCACCUUCGACCAAGGCGACCACCCCGACUGCGUGCCGAGCCUAGGAAAGUACCGGCUCGUUGUCGACCCCGUCAUCGGCAACACCAGGCUCACCAAGGUCCUCAUGGACGGGGGCAGUAGCCUCAACAUCAUCUACGCCGAGACCCUCGGGCUCUUGGGGAUCGAUUUGUCCACGAUCCGGGCUGGUGCGGCACCCUUUCACGGGAUCAUCCCCGAGAAGCGCGCCCUGCCCCUUGGACAACUCGAUCUGCCCGUCUGCUUCGGAACUCCCUCCAACUUCCGAAAGGAAACCCUCACGUUCGAGGUGGUUCCGAGGGACCUACCACGCGGUGCUGGGUAGACCGUGCUACGCCAAGUUCAUGGCCGUCCCCAACUACACGUACCUCAAGCUCAAGAUGUCAGGCCCCAACGGGGUCAUCACCGUCGGAUCCACGUACCGACACGCGUACGAAUGCGACGUGGAGUGCGUGGAGUAUGCUGAGGCCCUCGCCGAGUCCGAGGCCCUCAUCGCCGACCUAGAGUGCCUCUCCAAGGAGGCGCCUGAUGCGAAGCGCCAUGCUGGCAACUUCGAACCGGCUGAGGCGGUUAAGUCCGUCCCCCUCGACCCCAGCAACGACGCCUGCAAGCAAGUCCGGAUCGGCUUCGAGCUCGACCCCAAAUAGGAAGCAGUGCUCAUCGACUUUCUCCGCGCAAACGCCGAAGUUUUUGCGUGGAGUCCUUCGGACAUGCCCGCCAUACCGAGGGAUGUCGCCGAGCACUCACUGGAUAUCCGAGCCGGUGCCCGACCUGUGAAGCAACCCCUGCGCCGUUUCGACAAAGAAAAGCGCAGAGCCAUAGGCGAGGAGAUCCACAAGCUGAUGGCCGCAGGGUUCAUCAAAGAGGUAUUCCAUCCCGAAUGGCUAGCUAACCCUGUGCUUGUGAAAAAGAAAGGUGGGAAAUGGAGGAUGUGCGUAGAUUACACUGGUCUAAAGAAAGCAUGUCCGAAGGUUCCCUACCCUCUGCCUCGCAUCGAUCAAAUUAUGGACUCCACUGCUGGUUGCGAAACCCUGUCAUUCCUCGACGCCUACUCAGGGUAUCACCAAAUCAAGAUGAAAGAGUCCGACCAGCUCGCGACUUCUUUCAUCACACCUUUUGGCAUGUACUGUUAUACUACUAUGCCAUUUGGCUUGAGGAAUGCAGGUGCAACAUACCAAAGGUGCAUGAACCACGUGUUCGGAGAGCACAUCGGCCGAACGGUCGAGGCUUAUGUCGAUGACAUCAUUGUCAAGACGAGGAAAGCCUCCGACCUCCUCUCUGACCUUGAAACGACAUUCAAGUGUCUGAGAGCGAAGGACGUGAAACUCAAUCCCGAGAAGUGUGUCUUCGGAGUCCCCUGAGGCAUGCUCCUAGGGUUCAUCGUCUCCGAGCGGGGCAUCGAGGCCAACCCGGAGAAAAUCGUGGCCAUCACCAACAUGGGGCCUAUCAAAGAUUUGAAAGGAGUACAAAGGGUCAUGGGAUGUCUUGCGGCUCUGAGCUGCUUCAUCUCGCGCCUCGACGAAAAAGGCCUACCCUUGUACCGCCUUUUAAGGAAGGCCGAGCGCUUCACUUGGACCCCCGAGGCCGAGGAAGCCCUAAGAAACUUAAAGGCGCUCCUUACAAACGCGCCCAUCUUGGUGCCCCUCGCUGCGGGAGAAGCCCUCUUGAUCUACGUAGCCGCAACCACUCAGGUGGUUAUCGCCGCGAUCGUAGUCGAGAGACAAGAAGAAGGGCAUGCACUGCUCGUCCAGAGGCCGGUCUACUUCAUCAGUGAAGUGCUAUCCGAGACCAAGAUCCGCUACCCGCAAAUCCAGAAGCUACUGUAUGCAGUAAUUCUGACGCGGCGAAAAUUGCGACACUACUUCGAGUCUCAUCCAGUGACUGUGGUGUCAUCCUUCCCCCUGGGGGAGAUCAUCCAGCGCCGAGAGGCCUCGGGUAGGAUAGCAAAGUGGGAAGUGGAACUCAUGGGCGAGACAAUCUCGUUCGCUCCUCGGAAGGCCAUAAAAUCCCAAGUCUUGGCGGACUUCGUGGCUGAAUGGGUCGACACCCAACUGCCAACAGCUCCGAUCCAACCCGAGCUUUGGACCAUGUACUUCGAUGGGUCGCUGAUGAAAACGGGAGCAGGUGCUGGCCUACUCUUCAUCUCACCCCUCGGGAAACAUCUCCGCUACGUGCUGCGCCUCCAUUUCCCGGCGUCAAACAACGUGGCCGAGUACGAGGCUUUGGUUAACGGGCUGCGCAUCGCCGCCGAGCUAGGGGUUUGGCGCCUCGACGCUCGCGGCGACUCGUAGCUUGUCAUUGACCAAGUCAUGAAGAACUCCCACUGCCGCGACCCGAAGAUGGAGGCCUACUGCGACGAAGUUCGACGCCUGUAAGACAAGUUCUACGGGCUGGAGCUCAACCACAUCGCUCGACGGUACAACGAGACUGCGGAUGAGCUGGCGAAAAUAGCCUCGGGGCGGACAACGGUUCCCCCUGAUGUCUUCUCCAGAGACAUACAUCAACCCUCCGUCAAGAUCGACGACACGCCCGAGCCCGAGGAGGCCUCGGCCCAGCUCGAGGUAUCCUCGGCCGCCGAGGGUGAGGCCUUGCGCAUCGAGGGAGAGCGGGAUGGGGUUGCGUCAAACCGAAACUGGCAGACCCCGUACCUGGAAUAUCUCCUCCGAGGAGAGCUACCCCUCGACAAGGCCGAAGCUCGGCGACUGGCGAGGCGUGCCAAGUCGUUCGUCUUACUGGGUGAUAAAAAGGAGCUCUACCACCGCAGCCAUUUAGGCAUUCUCCAACGAUGCAUAUCCGUCGUCGAAGGACAGGAGCUAUUGCAAGAUAUACACUCGGGGGCUUGCGGUCACCACUCAGCGCCUCGAGCCCUCGUGGGAAACGCCUUCCGACAAGGUUUCUACUGGCUGACCGCGGUGGCCGACGCCACUAGGAUUGUACGCUCUUGCCAAGGGUGUCAAUUCUACGCAAGACAGACGCACCUGCCCGCUCAGGCCCUGCAGACAAUACCCAUCACCUGGCCAUUUGCUGUGUGGGGUCUGGACCUCGUCAGUCCCUUGCAGAAGGCACCCGGGGGCUCCUCACACCUGCUGGUCGCCAUCGACAAAUUCUCCAAAUGGAUCGAGGUCCGACCCUUAACGAGCAUCAGGUCCGAGCAGGCAGUGGCGUUCUUCACCAACAUCAUCCAUCGCUUUGGGGUCUCGAACUCCAUCAUCACCGACAACAACACGCAGUUCACUAGGAAGAAGUUCCUAGACUUCUGCAAGGACCACCACAUCCGUGUGGACUGGGCCGCCGUAGCUCACCCUAUGACGAAUGGGCAGGUGGAGCGUGCCAACGGUAUGAUUCUGCAGGGACUUAAAAGAGGAUCUACAACGACCACAACAAGUUCGACAAGCGGUGGAUGAAAGAGCUACCCUCGAUGGUCUGGAGUCUGAGGACGACGCCGAGCCGAGCCACGGGUUUCUCGCCGUUCUUUCUAGUCUAUGGGGCCGAGGCUAUCUUACCCAAAGACUUAGAAUACGGUUCCCCGAGGACAAAGGCAUACGAUGACCGAGGCAACCAGGCCAGCCGAGAAGACUCACUGGACCAGCUGGAAGAGGCUCGGGACAUGGCCUUACUACACUCGACGCGGUAUCAGCAGUCUCUGCGACGCUACCACGCCCGAGGGGUUCGACCCCGAGGCUUCCAGGUGGGAGACUUAGUACUUCGGCUGCGGCAGGACGCCCGAGGGCGCCACAAACUUACUCCUCUCUGGGAAGGGCCGUUCAUCAUUGCCAAGAUUUUGAAGCCCGGAACAUACAAGCUGGCCAACGAUCAAGGCGAGGUCUACAGCAACGCUUGGAACAUCCAACAGCUAUGUCGCUUUUACCCUUAAGAUGUUUUCAAGUCGUUCAUAUACCUCACUUUUCUUUACAUACAUAAAUAAAGUCUAACCGUCAAGGAAGGAUCAGCCUUGCCUCGGCAAAGCCCGACCCUCCCUCGGGGGCUAGAAGGUGGGAACCCCCUCUGCGUCAAAAUUUUCCUCAGAAAAAGUCUUUUGCGCUUUUCGACUGCUUCGAUAGCGAGAUCCUGAAAACGACGAGAGUACACGUAAGUGGCAAGGCUGACCGAGCCGAGGGACUCCUACGCCUCCGGGAUACGGAUACCUUACUCAUCACCUUCCGCAAUAAGUAACUCACGCUCGGAUAAGCGAUUCUGCUACCGAACAAGUCCUAACGCUCGAAAACUUUUCUGCCAGAACGAUUUUCGUGCCUUCUUGACUAUAUCGAUAACAGAAUCCUGCGAACGAGUAAGAGUGCACGUAAGCGGCAAGGCCGACCGAGCCGAGGGACUCCUACGCCUCCGGGAUACGGAUACCUCACUCAUCACCUUCCGCGAAAAGUAACUCUCGCUCAAUAAGCGAUUCUGCUAUCGAUGAACAAGUCUUGAUACUCGAAACAAGAGGAAAGAAAACGUAGCUUUAUAAUACGACAAUAAGAUGUUUAGGCCUCGACGGCCGCAAAAAACAUACGCAUACUACAGACAAACUGUUCCUGCAGGUUCAGACAUCGACAGAGGGAGCAGCAACACCCUCGGCGUCGUUUCCACCCUCGCGGGACCUGGCCCAGCCUCGGACGGCGAUACGGACGGAAGGAUUUCCACCCCAUGGGAGGACGCCAGCAUCGCGCUUGGGCCCCCACGGCCAAGUUCUCCGCAAGGGUUCCAUCCCGAAGCGGACGCCUCGGCUGGCCGCUCUGUAUCCUUAGCCAGCUGUCCCCCGAGGACCUCAGCCCGGCUCACGGCCUCGGCAGCGUGACUCCGGGGUUGGUCCUGCUAGCGGACGACCUGGCCAAGCCCCAGCCGUCGCCGCUGCACCUCCUCGGCAAGGGAAGCCACGUGCUCCCGGGCCGACGAAGCCUCUUUUCGAGCCGACUCCGCCUCUGUCCAUGCUGACACUGCUGCCUCCAGCUUCGGCUCAUCGCAGAGCGGCCUAAGGUUCUAUAACUGAGCAAGAGAAGCCUUGAGCGGCAAGGCCGACCGAGCCGAGGGACUCCUACGCCUUCGGGAUACGAAUACCUCACUCGUCACCUUCCGCGCAAGGCAACUCACACUCGGUUAAGCGGUUCAGCUAGCCGACAGGCGAGUCCUAGUGCUCGAAAUGAGGAAGAAACACAUCUUCACGCCCAAAUACCCAGAUGUUCAGGCCUCGACAGCCACAAUGAACAAACACCCAUACUCAGGGUGCUAUUACAAACGGAACUCCGGUUCCACUCCCGCGGGUAUGAACUACCUCCACACCAGAGGGCCUGCGGGACAACAAACUCCAGGUGGCUCGCCGGCGACCACUGCACCAGCAGUGACAACGACCUCCGCUUCGGGCGGCUAAACAGCAGCAGCGAUGACCUCAGGGCAAGCGCUGCUAUGGAAAGGCCCUCGCCCACGCCCCCACACGAGGGGCGAGGACAAGCCAUCAAAGCCAAAGAGCCGGGGGUCCGACCGCAGGUGGCGCUGACGGUCUCGUCGGCGGAGAAACCUUCUCUGGCGGCCACCACCUCGGCACCGACGGCAGCGGCCACCUGCGUGCCAGUGCCACGCCGACGAAUGGCGGCCGCCCCAGCCUGCAGCGACAGAUCCCCACUCAAGUCCUCACGGACGGAUCAGCACCAGCCUCCACGCGGAGGCGCCAUGCUGGAGUGAGGACAAGACAAUCCAAGAACACGAACGCCGCCCUAGCGGCGUGUGACGUCUUGGACGAUCCCCCGGUGCAGUCGGCAACGCGGGGAGGGCCACAGACAUGCCCGACCUGCUCGCGGCGCGACUGUCGCCCAUGCGGUGGACGGACAGCCACGCCCGAAUCAAGCGGCAGGAGGCAGCGUCGGACGCUGCGACAGAGCCAGCUGAGCCAGCGAGCCAGGCACGCUGGAGCUGACGACGCUUGCGGCUGACCGGUCCCGCGUUGUCGAAGUUCGCCCCCUCCGUAAGGCAGGUGAGCGCCCUCUCCCCUGAAUGCUGAAGGGAGAGGCGACCUGCCGGCCCAUGCGGGAGGUAGAACCCCAGCUCAGCUUGCCCUCCGCCACAACAAGGAUGAUGAAGAUCCUUGAAGCUGAGGGCGGGGCAGAGGUCGCAGCCCGACUUGCUUCUCCCCACCACCAAACUGGUGGUCAUCAUCCUAGAUGACUAUUGGCGAGGGAAUGCAGCCGAACUGCAUGAUGAAAAUCCUUGAAGCCGAGCGAUGGCUGAAGGGUGCCAACCCCCGCGAGGUCGCGCUCCUCCAACAGCAGCAAGACGAAGGCAACGCGGGUGCCCCCCAUCCGGGGGCUCGGAAGGUGGAAGGGCACGAUGCAUGAGGGGAGUGCGAAGACAUGGCUACCGCCCGGGGGAUCGACCCCUUUUUAAAGGCGACUCUCCCCACUCGCAUCCUCAAGCGUCACGGGCAAAGUCUUCACCGACGUGCUCCGGGGUCCUCCCCCUACGACACGGGGGCUAGGUCCCACACGUCAUGCAAGCUGACCAGAAACGGAAGAAGCCAAACCACUGCGCGCGAAGCAGGAGGCGUGCAACCGCACCACGGUUGUGCACCCUUUCGGCUUCAUCGCAUCCGGUGGGUCAGCGUGAAGGCCUGGGCCCGCAUGUCAUGCAACCGGCGCAACAGUUACUGCGUGCAAGGAAACCGCACCGCUGCUCGCACCAAUGCCGCGUCUCCUCGACUGCGGAACCAGUGCCGCGACUUGAGGCAGCCCUGCACAUGACCCAACAGUGCCAAUUGAGCACAACGAUCACGAGUCAGUCAGCCGCGGGAGGAGGCGCGACAGUUGAUGUGGCCAAAAGUGGACCGACAGUAAUGGCGGCAGCAGACGAGCGAAAGCAGCGGUCAAAUCGCCUGCAGGCUCGCGUCCCCUCCUAAAGCGGCAGGGGAGCCCUCUCCCACGGCGUGAAGGCGAAACACCCGUUCCUCAAACGACUCGCGCACGCACAACGACCACCCCGCGAAUCGCCCGUCCCGUCGCAUUAACUCCUCGGCAGGGCAAGCGUCACCUUUGGCAGGCGAAGCGGGCGACGUUUCACCUCCGCCAUAAUGACCGCGUCAAAAAAGGUGCGCCACCCCAUUUAAAUUCAUAUCCUUUUCCUCUUCCCCUUUCUCUCUCUUGCUACAGGGACCGGGAAAGGGGAUAUUUCGAAAGGGAUCCUUCUCCGCGAAGGAAGCGGGCCCCGAGCCCUCCUACUGAUCAGGGGUUCGAAGGCUGGCCCCUCGGAAGGGUUCGACAGCCGCCCCAGAGCACUCGGGCUUCAAGCUCAUUACUGAUCAGGGGUUUGAAGGCUGGCCCCUCAGAAGGGUUCGAUAGCUGCCUCAGAGCACUCAGGCUCCGCGCCCACUACUGAUCAGGGGUUCGAAGGCUGGCCCCUCGGAAGGGUUCGACAGUCGCCCAGAGCAUGCAAAGCGAGGGAUGACUCUGGGUACGUCCGUUACAUGGCCGAGGCUCGGGCUACGCUCCCGAGGUACCCUAGGACAUUUCUGAGACCAGCAGGAGCAAUUUUGUAACGGAAUCCCAUCAGAGGGAGGCAUCGAGCCCUUGGACCCUAUCGAAUGGGUCCGGGUCCGGCAAAUCACCUGCAGGUACCUCUGGAGCGCGCCUCUGGGCCACUAGCCGACCCUUAUCGAACGGGGCACGGGCGUCCACUCGGAUCACCCGUUAGCAACUCACUGGAGACACCAUGUUCAGCGCCCUCCGAGGGCAACAUGGCGCUUUCCCCCCUUCCUCCUUGUGGAAAGGCGACGAAGGGGCGUAUAAUAAAAGUCGAGACAGUCCUUGAUCGUCCUCUCGCUCCGUGCAGAGGCUCGGGGGCUGCUCUCGCAAACCGGCUACAGUCAAACCGUUGACAGCGUCAACAAACCAGCCUAAAAACUCGGAACCUGACCAUGCACCCGGGCUACGACCAGGCCGCAUGAGGGAGCGACAAGGCUAGCCGAGGCAUCACGAAAGACAUUAAGGCCUCAGAGGAGUCAAACCACUCCUCCGAGGCCUCGGGGGCUACACCCGGCGGGUGCGCUCGCGCGCACCCACCGGAACAAAGUAUAACCGAGAAAGGCCGGUCCCCUCACAAAAAGUGCGGCAAAGCCUCCAAGCGAGUGCCAACACUCCCUUUGAGGCUCGGGGGCUACUGUUGGGUACCAUAAUUAGGGGUACCCCCAACACUCCUACACACGGCUGGUAACCACCAUCAGCACGAACCGCAAAGACUGAUGGGCACGAUUCAGGUCAAGGCUUCGUCUACCCAAGGGGCGCGAUCUCGCCUCGCCCGAGCCCAGCCUCGGGCAGGAACUGUAGUCCCGAACGAAGUUAUGUCUCGCCAGAGGGCCUCCUCAGGCAGUAGCCGCACCCUCGGCACGCCCGAGGCCCAACUCGAGCAGGCUUCGUCAAGAAGCAACCUUGGCCAAAUCGCCUCUCCAACCGACCAUAUCACAGGCGCAUUCAAUGCGAGGAUCGCCUGACACCUUCUCCUGACACGCGUGCCUCAGUCGGCAAGGUCGAAGUGACCGCAAUCACUUCGCCCUUUCACUGACCGACCUGACAGGAAAACAGCGCCGCUCGCCCCGCUCCGACUGCUAUGCCACCCACUAGGGUGAGGUUGACAACAGCCAAGUUCAGCCUCGGGCACAACAGGAAACUCCGCCUUGCCCGACCUUAGGCCUCGGCCUCGGAAGGAGGUCUCCGCCUCGCCCGACCCCAUGGCUCGGCCUCAACCUCGACCUCGGAAGGUGGUCUCCGCCUCGCCCGACCCCAGGGCUCGGCCUCAACCUCGGCCUCGGGAGGAAUCGCGUCCUCACCCGACCCUGGCCUCGGCCUCAGGAGGAGUCUCUGCCUCGCCCGACCGCGCCACGGGGGAUACAUCAUUACCCUACCCCUAGCUAGCUCAGGCUACGGGGGAACAAAACCGGCGUCCCAUCUGGCUCGCCCCGGUGACAAGUAAUGAUGGCUCCCCGCGUGCGUCCAUGACAACGGUGGUUCUCAGCCCCCUACGGAAGCAAGGAGACGUCAGCAAGAUCCCAGCAGUACCGACAGCUGUGCUUCUACAGGGCUCAAGCACUUCUCCGACGGCCACGUUAUCGCCUACGCAGGGCUCAAGCACUUCUCCGACAGCCACGUUGGCAUGUACACAGGGCUCAGGCACUUCCCUGCCAGACACGUUAGCGCCUAGCUACACCCCCCAUUGUACACCUGGACCCUCUCCUUGCAUCUAUAAAAGGGAGGUCUAGGGCCUUCAUGCGAGAGGGUCGCGCGGGAGAACGAGCUAACGAACAGGCUCACUCUCUCUCUCGCGAACGCUUGUAACCCCUACUACGAGCACACCCCCCCUGGCGCGGGAUAACACGAGCCGCAUUUUCCCCCUUGUGUUCCAUCUCGCGCCAACCCAUCUGGACUGGGACGCGCAACGACAAAUUUACUCGUCGGUCCAGGGACCCCCCGGGGUCGAAACGCCGACAACGAGAUACGCCUAAGUAUACUUCUUCUAGUGAUGAGGAAUCUUCUGACGAUGAGGUAGAUUACAAUGAUCUAUUUAGAGGUUUAGAUAGAUAUAAAAUAGAUAAAAUAAAUAAAUUUAUUGAUGCUCUCAAUGAAAAAGAUAGGCUUCUAUAAAAGCAAGAAGAUAUUCUUUAUGAGGAACAUGAUAAAUUCAUUAAUGUUCAAAAAUCUCUUGCUCUAGAAAUUAAGAAAAAUGAACUAUUGACCUCUGAGUUAUCUACUUGUAAUGACUCUAUCUCUAAGCUUAAGAAUUUAAAUUUUGAUUUAAAUACUAAGUUAGAAGAAGUAAAUUUUGCUAGUUCAUCUGUAGAGCAUGUUGUAAUCUACAAUAGGUGUAAAGAUUUUAAUAUUAAUGCUUGCAAUGAACAUGUCUCUACCAUUCUUAAUUUAAAUAAUGAUGUCGCAAGUCUUAAUGCUUAACUUAAGACUUGCAAGGAUAAUUAUGAAAAAUUAAAAUUUGCUAGGGAUGCCUACACCAUUGGUAGACAUCCCUUUAUUAAGGAUGGACUUUGUUUCCAAAAGGGAACCAAGAACUUAACAAGCCAAAGGGCUCCUGUUGGUCACUUGUUCUCAAAUGCUAAGAGUUAAGAACAAGGCAACACAAAAUGUUAACGGUUAAAGACCUUCGUCCUUCGAAGCAUUAUCUCCUUUAGGAUAUAAUGAUCUUUAGACGAAGGUUAUGAAGGACGUACCUUCAUAAUCUCAAUAUAUAAUAAUGAAAGUAUAAGUAUAUGAAAUAUGGAAAACAACAUGAAUAAUCAUAUGACAUUAUCAGAACAUUUUUAUUAUCUCCUCAUGAAUAAACAUGAACAAUAUCGAGUUACAUUUGUACCUUCGGCUUGACAGAAGGCGAAAAUCCAAGUGUGACGUGCGAGUGAAUACAAGUCAGCGUGAACAGUACAAUGUUAUUGUUCAUCUAUUUAUAGGCACAUGACGCAGCCUGUGUAAAAUUACAUCCAUGCCCUUUAUGUUUACUAUUGACUUAAGGACAAUCUACUGAGGACUAGAUAGCCUUUUCCUCUUUAAGUCGGUUUCAUUUUCUGCCGCUGAGCCGAAGCAUUUCUACGCGUAGCUUCGGAGCUGGUUCAACCUUCUUCCAGACCAUGCUUUUCAUAUGGUAUACAACUUCAUUCCGAGGCCGAAGGUCCCUGUAAAUGUAUUAUACUUAGAAAACAUGUUAAUUGUGUUUUUGAGGACCUUCGGAAGACGAAGGCCCCCAACAGUAGCCCCUAACAGUAUUAAUUUGUUUAAUCAAUAAAUUCAAACUGCGACGUGAACGAAGGCCUUAAGCCGAAGGUCCGAAAAACACCUUCCCUUCGCUAGAAUAGCGAAAGUCAAUGACAAACGGGGCCCGCCAAGUUGCAAAGCACUAGGCGUAUAAAUAGGAACCCACAUCGGCAACAUUUGAUGCGCCAUUUCUGCUGUUUGCGUUGUUUUCUCAAAUUUUUAGCUCUUGCUCAUCAACUCUUGUUUAAUUUUCGAGCUUCGGUUUAAAGACGUGCUUGCUCCAUGUCUGAGGAGAAGACGAUGACCAAGGAAAAGAUGACUGAGGAGAAGAAGCUCACUGAGGGGAAGAAGCUAUACGAAGAGAAGAAAGUUGCGGACCCUUUCAUUGCUGGGUUUUAUGAGUCUAUGGCAAAGACGAAUACAGAGAAAAUCACUAAAGAGAUAAUGGAGGGUUUGUCUGAAGAUUCUGAUGACAGCAAUAGUUAUGAUGUAGAGAGUGGAGAUGAAGAUUCUGAGGACCGGCCCUGGAGGCCAAGCCAUACUAUCUUCGGAAAAUCGACCAUCAAACAAAGUCAUAUUGACGCCAUGAGGGGGAGAUAUUUUCGCGACGUGUCUAUUGUCAGGGUUGGAGGAGACAACACUGCCCCUACUCCUGAGGAAAAUGAAGUUGUUAUUUACCGAAGCUUCCUGAAGGCAGGCCUUCGGUUCCCACUGAGCAAAUUUGUGGUUGAGGUAUUGAAGAUAUUCCAGAUCUUUCUUCAUCAGAUUACCCCCGAAGCUAUAAUUAGGAUGGGGAUAUUUGUCUGGGCUGUAAGAAGCCAGGGGCUGGAGCCGAGCGCAAAGUGCUUCUGCAAUACACACGAGCUUUUAUACGAGACAAAGGCUACCGACAAAGAACAAUACCACAACAACUUCGGUUGUUACGGGUUCAUUGCCCGCUCUAAUGCAAGUUACCCGGUGCCGACGUAUCGGGAAAGGUGGCCCGGGGCCUAGAUGGAGGAGUGGUUUUAUGUUAAAAAUGAUCUGAUAAAAGGGAAGACAUCAAGGAAAUUGUUGGGGACUUGUUCUCAAAUGCUAUGAGUCAAGAACAAGUCAACACAAAAUGUUAAUGAUUAAAGACCUUCGUCCUCCGAAGCAUUAUCUCCCUUAGGAUAUAAUGAUCUUCAGACGAAGGUCAUGAAGGACAUACCUUCAUCAUCGCAGUAUAUAUUAAUGAAAGAAGAAGCAUAUGAAACAUGAGAGACAACAUGAAUAAUUAUACAACAUAUUUUAUAUAUCUUUAUUAAAUUAUCAUAAAUGAAUAUGAACAAUAUUGAAUUACAUUUGUACCUUCGGCUUGACAGAAGGCAAAAGUCCAAGCGUGACGCACGAAUGAAUACAAGUCAACGUGAACAGUACGGGGGUACUGUUCAUCUAUUUAUAGGCACAGAGCGCAGCCUGUGUAAAAUUACAUUCAUGCCAUUUGUGUUUAUUAUUGACGUAAGGACAAUCUAACGAGGACUAGAUAGCCUUUUCCCCUUUAAGUCGGUUCCUUUUCCUGCCGCUGAGCCGAAGCUACCUUGCGCGUAGCUUCGGAGCUGCGUCAUCCUUCGUCUCGACCAUGCUUUUCAUAUUGUGUACAUUUUCAUUCCGAGUCCGAAGGUACCUGUACAUAUAUUACACUUGGGAAACAUUGUUAAAUCAUGUUUUUGAGGACCUUCGGAAGACGAAGGCCCCCAACAGUAGCCCCUCGCAGUAUUAAUUUGUUAUAACAACGAAUUUAGAUUGCGACAUGAACGAAGGCCUUAAGCCGAAGGAAAAAACACCUUCCCUUUGCUAGAAUAGCAAUAGUCAAUGACAGAUGGGGUCCACCAAGUUGCAAAGCACUGGGCGUAUAAAUAUGAACCCACAUCGGCAACAUUUGAUACGCCAUUUCUACCAUUUGCAUUAUUUUCUCAAACUUUUUAGCUCUUGCUCACUAGCUCUCGCCUGAUUUUCAAGCUUUGGUUUUAAAGACGUGUUUUCACCAUGUCUGGGGAACAGAUGACUGAGGAAAAGAAGAUGACUGCAGAGAUGAAGCUAACUGAGGAGACGAAGUUGUUUGAAGAAAAGAAAGUUGCGGAUCCUUUUAUCGCCGGGUUUAUUGAGUCUAUGUCAAAAACAAACACAGAGAAAAUUACUAAAGAGAUACUGGAAGGUUUGUCUGAAGAUACUGAUGAUAGUGAUAGUUAUGAUGUGGAAAGUGGGGAUGAAGAUUCUGAAGAUCGGCCCUGGCGACCAAGCCAUGCUGUCUUCGGAAAAUCGACUAUUAAACAGAGUCAUUUUGACAAUAUGAGAGGAAGGUACUUUCGUGACAUGUCUAUCGUGAGAGCUGGCGGAGACAACAUCGUCCCUGCCCUGAGGAAAAUGAAGUUGUUAUCUACCGAAGCUUUUUUAAGGCUGGUCUUCGGUUCCCUUUGAGCAAGUUUGUGGUUGAAGUGCUGAAGAUAUACCAGACCUUCCUUCAUCAGAUCACCCCUGAAGCUAUAAUGAGGAUGGGGAUUUUUGUCUGGGAUGUAAGAAGUCAGGGGCUAGAGCCAAGCGCGAAGUGCUUCUGUAGUAUGCACGAGCUUUUAUAUGAGAUGAAGGCUACUGGCAAAGAACAGUACCACAACAACUUCGGUUGUUAUGGAUUUAUUGCUUGCCCCAACGCAAGCUACCCGGUGCCAACAUUCUGGAAGAGAUGGCCCGGAGCCUAGAUGGAGGAGUGGUUUUAUGUUAAAAAUGAUUUAAAGGCAAGGGAAGACAUCAAAGAAAUCAUCCAGCGCCCCAUCUAGUCUCGCUUCGGCCUCCAAAGGCCGAAGGUGGAAAUUGAUGACGCUGUUGAAGCAUGUCAGAGGGCUUUUAGCACUGUUUGUGCCUUUAUUGGCACAAGGGAUUUGAUUCAAGAGCAUAUAUCCUUCAGGGUAUGGCCACUUGUGGAAAGCUGGGAUAUGCCGAAGGAGACAACCACCAAUUCUAGUGAUGGUAGUCUGGUCCGACUGAAGUAUACCUUCACAUUUAGGGAGAAGUUUGAUAAGCCAAACGACGACUAGCUGAAGUGUAUUGAAGCUACUAGUGAUGAGCUACUUGAAGCUUACUCCAAGACCGAAGAUAAUGCUUUUUCCACAGCCUUCGGAGGCCGGGGGAAGAAAAUACUGAACAAGGUCUUUGAUGCGAUUGGCUUCAUGUACCCCGAUUAUCGCUUCCCGCUGCGAGGGCAAGGAAAAAAGAGGAAGGCUGCCGCUUCGGCCACUACAGUUGUGCCGAAGAGCAAAAAGGUGAAGGUUCUGACCCACCGGCCGCGUUAUAUUGAACCGGUGAGAGCACCUAGAGGGGGGGGGGUGAAUAGGUGAUCCUGUAAAAACUUAACUUAUAGCCACAAAAACUUGUUAGGGGUUAGCUCAAUAAUUGCCAAGUGGCUAAAGAGGAGAUCUUGCACAAUGCGACAAUCACAGAGAAUUCAACACAAAGGAGACACGGUGAUUUAUCCCGUGGUUCGGCCAAGUACAAAACUUGCCUACUCCACGUUGUGGCGUCCCAACGGACGAGGGUUGCAAUCAACCCCUCUCAAGCGGUCCAAAGACCCACUUGAAUACCACAGUGUUUUGCCUUGCUUAUCUUUAUCCCACUCGCGAGGAAUCUCCACAAAUUGGAGUCUCUCGCCCUUACACUUAAGAUUCACAGAGAAGCACGGAGUAAGGGAGGGAAGCAACACACACAAAUCCACAGCGAAACGCGCACACACACGGCCAAGAUUCGAGCUCAAAGACUAUCUCACAGUUUCUCACAAGAACAGAGCUCGAAUCACUUAGAAUCACGAACGGAUGCGCAAAGACUUAGUGUGGAUGAUCAAGAAUGCUCAAGAGUUGCUUGGUGUCUUCCUCCAUGCGCCUAGGGGUCCCUUUUAUAGCCCCAAGGCAGCUAGGAGCCGUUGAGAGCAAAUCUGGAAGGCCAUCUUCGCCUUCUGUCGUCGGGCGCACCGGAUAGUCCGGUGCACACCGGACCGUGUCCGGUGCCCGAUUCCUUUCCUUAAAUGGCGAAGCCGACCGUUGCAGAUGCGGGAGCCGUUGGCGCACCGGACAUGUCCGGUGCACACCGGACAGUCCGGUGCCCCCUUCCGACCGUUGGCUCGGCCACGUGUCCCGCGCUGAUCGCGCGGCCGACCGUUGGCCCUGGCCGACCGUUGGCUCACCGGACAGUCCGGUGCACACCGGACAGUCCGGUGAAUUUUAGCCGUACGCCGUCAGCAAAUUCCCGAGAGCGGCCUCUUCGGCCGAGGGAGCCUGGCGCACCGGACACUGUCCGGUGCACCACCAGACAGUCCGGUGCCCCAGACCGAAACAGCCCCUUGGCUGUACACAGCCAAGUCUUCUCUUCUCUUCUUCUUUCUGUUUCUAACACUUAGACAAAUAUAUUAGUACACAAAACCAAUGUACUAAGACUUAGAAACAUACCUUUGUUGAAGAUUUGCACUUUGUUCAUCCAUGGGCAUUGAUUCACAUUUAAGCACUUGUGUUGACACUCAAUCACCAAAAUACUUAGAAAUGGCCCAAGGGCACAUUUCCCUUUCAAUCUCCCCCUUUUUGGUGAUUUAUGCCAACACAACAUAAAGCAGAUAGAACAAGUGCAAAAUCACUUCAAAUAAAAACUCAAAUUGGUUUUGAUUCAUUUUUGGCAUAUAUGGAUCAUCCUUUGCCACCACUUGGUUUGUUUUUGCAAAUUAAACUCAAAUCUCUAUCUCUAAGUCAAACACACAUGUUGAAGCAUAAAGAGAGUCAUUCCAAAAGAGAUUGAUCAAAGAUUUCAAAAACUCCCCCUAUUUCCCAUAAUCAACACUUCUCCCCGCAAGAAGCCAACCUUUGACAAGAGAGACAAUAAGAGACAAUAAAAGAGUUUGACAAAACAAAAACUCUAUUCUACUAUUUUCAAAAUCUCUCAAGUGGUAGCUGAUCCAUUUAUCGCUUUGGCCUUUAUUUUCUCCCCCUUUGGCAUCAAGCACCAAAACAGGAUCAAUCUUGGCCUUUUAACCCCAUUGCCUCACCAAAGUCUUCAAUUAAGAGCAAAUGGCAAUAAGAUUUCAUGAGAUGAACUUGGAAUUAGUUACCCUCUCAUCGGAGUGCAGUGGAAGUCUUUCAUGGUCCAAGUCCACCUUUUCCCUUUCAAUCCUUCUUCGAGACUAAAUCAUCAAACUCAAGCACAUGGUUAGUCUCAAAGGGUCAAGUUGUAACACAUCUCCCCCUAAACAUGUGCAUCACUUUGCAACGGACUUGUAAGGUCCAGGGAGUGUUUGUACAACUUGAGCACCAUAAUAAGCAAUAAAAUGCAAAAAAGGAACAUGAUCAAAAGCAUAAAUACAUGUAUGCUACAAUUCAAUCCAGGUUCCGCGAAUCUAAGACAUUUAGCUCACUACGCAACCUGCAAAAGGUCUUCUCAUCUAGAGGCUUAGUGAAGAUAUCGGCUAGCUGGUUCUCGGUGCUAACAUGAAACACUUCGAUAUCUCCCUUUUGCUGGUGGUCUCUCAAAAAGUGAUGCCGGAUGUCUAUGUGCUUUGUGCGGCUGUGUUCAACAGGAUUUUCCGCCAUGCGGAUAGCACUCUCAUUAUCACAUAGGAGUGGGACUUUGCUCAGAUUGUAGCCAAAGUCCCGGAGGGUUUGCCUCAUCCAAAGUAGUUGCGCGCAACACUGUCCUGCGGCAACAUACUCGGCCUCAGCGGUGGAUAGGGCAACGGAGGUUUGUUUCUUAGAGUUCCACGACACCAGGGACCUUCCUAAGAAUUGGCACGUCCCUGAUGUACUCUUCCUAUCGACCUUACAUCCAGCAUAGUCGGAAUCUGAGUAUCCAACUAAGUCAAAGGUAGACCCCUUUGGAUACCAGAGCCCGAAGCAAGGCGUAGCAACUAAAUAUCUAAGAAUUCGCUUUACCGCCACUAAGUGACACUCCUUAGGAUCGGAUUGAAAUCUAGCACACAUGCAUACGCUAAGCAUAAUAUCCGGUCUACUAGCACAUAAGUAAAGCAAAGAACCUAUCAUUGACCGGUAUGCUUUUUGAUCAACGGACUUACCUCCUUUGUUGAGGUCGGUGUGUCCGUCGGUCCCCAUCGGAGUCUUUGCGGGCUUGGCGUCCUUCAUCCCAAACCGCUUUAGCAGAUCUUGCGUGUACUUUGUUUGGGAGAUGAAGGUGCCGUCCUUGAGUUGCUUCACUUGGAACCCAAGGAAGUAGUUCAACUCGCCCAUCAUCGACAUCUCGAAUUUCUGCGUCAUCACCCUGCUAAACUCUUCACAAGACUUUUGGUUAGUAGAACCAAAUAUUAUGUCAUCGACAUAAAUUUGGCACACAAACAAAUCACCAUCACAUGUCUUAGUGAAAAGAGUUGGAUCGGCUUUCCCAACCUUGAAAGCAUUAGCAAUUAAAAAGUCUCUAAGGCAUUCAUACCAUGCUCUUGGGGCUUGCUUAAGUCCAUAGAGCGCCUUAGAGAGCUUACACACGUGGUCGGGGUACCGUUCAUCCUCGAAGCCAGGGGGUUGCUCCACGUACACCUCCUCCUUGAUUGGCCCGUUGAGGAAAGCGCUCUUCACAUCCAUUUGGUACAACCUGAAAGAAUGGUGAGCGGCAUAUGCUAGCAAGAUACGAAUGGACUCUAGCCUAGCCACAGGAGCGAAAGUCUCCUCAAAGUCCAAACCUGCGACUUGGGCAUAACCUUUUGCCACAAGUCGAGCCUUGUUCCUCGUCACCACCCCGUGCUCGUCCUGUUUGUUGCGGAACACCCACUUGGUUCCCACAACAUUUUGCUUCGGACGAGGCACCAGUGUCCAAACUUCAUUGCGCUUGAAAUUGUUGAGUUCCUCUUGCAUGGCCAACACCCAGUCUGGAUCUAGCAAGGCCUCCUCUACCCUGAAAGGCUCAAUAGAAGAGACAAAGGAGUAAUGCUCACAAAAAUUAGCUAAUCGAGAUCGAGUAGUUACUCCCUUGCUAAUGUCACCCAGAAUUUGAUCGACGGGAUGAUCCCUUUGAAUCAUCGCUCGAACUUGGGUUGGAGGUGCCGGUUGCGCUUCUUCCUCCAUUACUUGAUCAUCUUGUGCUCCCCCUUGAUCAAGCGCCUCCACUUGAGGUACCUGUUCGUCAUCUUCGGUUGGGGGAUGCACCAUAGUUGAGGAAGAAGGUUGAUCUCGUUCAUAUUGUUCCUGUGGCCGUACUUCUCCAAUCGCCAUGGUCCGUAUAGCGGCCGUCGGAACAUCUUCUUCAUCUACAUCAUCACAAUCAACUUGCUCUCUUGGAGAGCCAUUAGUCUCAUCAAAUACAACGUCGCUAGAGACUUCAACCAAACCCGAUGAUUUGUUGAAGACUCUAUACGCCUUUGUAUUUGAGUCAUAACCUAACAAAAACCCUUCUACAGCUUUGGGAGCAAACUUAGAAUUUCUACCUUUCUUCACUAGAAUGUAGCACUUGCUCCCAAAUACACGAAAGUAAGAUACAUUGGGUUUGUUACCGGUUAGUAGCUCAUACGAAGUCUUCUUGAGGAGGCGAUGAAGGUAGACCCUGUUGAUGGCGUGGCAAGCCGUGUUCACGGCUUCCGACCAGAAACACUCGGGUGUCUUGAAUUCUCCAAGCAUUGUCCUUGCCAUAUCGAUUAGCGUCCUGUUCUUCCUCUCUACCACACCAUUUUGCUGUGGUGUGUAGGGAGCGGAGAACUCGUGCUUGAUCCCUUCCUCCUCAAGGAACUCCUCCACUUGAAGGUUCUUGAACUCGGACCCGUUGUCGCUCCUUAUCUUCUUCACUUUGAGCUCAAACUCAUUUUGAGCUCUCCUGAGGAAGCGCUUGAGGGUCCCUUGGGUUUCAGACUUAUCCUGCAAAAAGAAUACCCAAGUGAAGCGGGAAAAGUCAUCAACAAUAACUAAACCAUACUUACUCCCUCCUAUGCUCAGAUAGGCGACAGGUCCGAAGAGGUCCAUAUGCAGCAGCUCCAGGGGUCUUGAAGUGGUCAUCACGUUCUUGCUGUGAUGCGCUCCUCCCACUUGUUUACCUGCUUGACAAGCUGCACAAGGUCUAUCUUUUUCGAAAUGCACGUUAGUCAAACCUAUCACGUGUUCUCCCUUUAGAAGCUUGUGAAGGUUCUUCAUCCCCACAUGUGCUAAGCGGCGAUGCCACAGCCAGCCCAUGCUAGUCUUAGCUAUUAAGCAUGCAUCUAGACCGGCCUCUUCUUUUGCAAAAUCAACUAAAUAAAGUUUGCCGUCUAAUACACCCUUAAAAGCUAGUGAACCAUCACUUCUUCUAAAGACAGACACAUCUACAUUUGUAAAUAGACAGUUAUACCCCAUAUGACAUAAUUGACUAACAGAUAGCAAAUUAUAUCCAAGACUCUCUACUAAAAAUACAUUAGAGAUAGAAUGCUCAUUAGAAAUUGCAAUCUUACCUAACCCUUUUACCUUGCCUUGAUUCCCAUCACCGAAUAUAAUUGAAUCCUGGGAAUCCUUAUUCUUGACGUAGGAAGUGAACAUCUUCUUCUCCCCCGUCAUAUGGUUUGUGCAUCCGCUGUCGAUAAUCCAGCUUGAUCCCCCGGAUGCAUAAACCUGCAAGGCAAAUUUAGGCUUGGGACUUAGGUACCCAACUCUUGUUGGGUCCUACAAGGUUAGUGCAAAUUUCCUUAGGGACCCAAAUGCAAGUUUUGUCUCCCUUGCAUUUUGCCCCUAACUUCCUAGCAAUUACCUUCUCACCCUUUCUACAAAUAGCAAAGGGAGCAUUGCAAGCAUAAUAAAUGGUGGAAGGUUUGUUCACAACUUUUCUAGGAACAUGAGCAAAAUUUCUCCUAGGCAUAUGCACAUCAUUUCUCCUACACAUAUCUCUAUCAUGCUUAUAGGAAGAACUAGAAGCAAACAUGGCAUGAGAAUCAUAAACAUGUGAAUCAAAAUCAUUAUAAGCAUUUCUAGCAUGUCUCCUAUCAUGGUAUAAGAAAGCAUGGUUCCUUUUAGCACUACUAGCCAUAGGGGCCUUCCCUUUCUCCUUGACGAAGAUGGGAGCCUUAUGGCUUGUUAAGCUCUUAGCCUCUCUCUUGAAGCCAAGACCAUCCUUAAUUGAGGGGUGUCUACCCACCGUGUAGGCAUCCCUUGCAAAUUUUAUUUUAUCAACUUCACUCUUGCUAGUCUUAAGUUGAGCAUUAAGACUAGCCACUUCAUCAUUUAGUUUUGAAAUUGAAACUAAGUGUUCACUACAAGCAUUAACAUCAAAAUCCUUACACCUAGUGCAAAUUGUAAUAUUUUCAACACACGAGUUACUUGCUACUUCUAGUUUAGCAGUUAAAACAUUAAUUUCACCUUUUAAAGAAGAAAUGGUUUCAUUACAAGUAGAAAGUUCACAAGAAAGUAUCCCAUUUCUUUUAACUUCUAGAGCAAGUGAAUUUUGUGCACUAACAAAUUUAUCAUGUUCUUCAUAUAGAAGGUCUUCUUGUUUCUCUAAGAUUCUAUCCUUUUCAUUUAAGGCAUCAAUCAACUCAUUAAUCUUAGCUAUCUUAGUUCUAUCCAAUCCCUUGAAUAAACUAGAGUAAUCAAUUUCAUCCUCACUAGAUUCAUCAUCACUAGAAGAAUCAUAAGUAUCAGUAUUACGAGUGAUUACCUUCUUUUCCCUUGCCAUAAGGCAAGUGUGAUGCUCGUUGGGGAAGAGAGCCGAUUUGUUGAAGGCAGUGGCGGCGAGUCCUUCGUCGUCGGAGUCGGACGAAGAGCAAUCCGAAUCCCACUCCUUUCCAAGGUGUGCUUCGCCUUUGGCCUUCUUGUAAACCUUCUUGUUCUCUCUCUUCCCAUUUUUCCCUUGCUCCUGGUCACUAUCAUUUUCGGGACAGUUAGCAAUAAAAUGACCAAGCUUACCGCAUUUGAAGCAUGAUCGCUUUCCCUUGGUCUUGGCCUUGCUUGGCUGUCCCUUUCGACCUUUUAGCGCCGUCUUGAAUCUCUUGAUGAUGAGAGCCAUCUCUUCAUCAUUGAGCCCGGCCGCCUCAACUUGCGCCACCUUGCUAGGUAGCGACUCCUUGCUCCUCGUUGCCUUUAGAGCAAUGGGUUGAGGCUCGUGGAGUGGACCGUUCAACGCGUCGUCGACGUAUCUUGCCUCCUUGAUCACCAUCCGCCCGCUCACGAAUUUUCCAAGUACUUCCUCGGGCGUCAUCAUCGUGUACCUGGGAUUCUCACGAAUAUUGUUCACGAGAUGAGGAUCAAGAACGGUAAAGGACCUGAGCAUUAGGCGGACGACGUCGUGAUCCGUCCAACGCGUGCUUCCGUAGCUCCUUAUUUUGUUGAUAAGGGUCUUGAGCCGGUUGUAAGUUUGAGUUGGCUCCUCUCCCCUUAUCAUGGCGAAUCGUCCAAGCUCGCCCUCCACCAACUCCAUCUUGGUGAGCAUGGUGAUGUCGUUCCCCUCGUGAGAGAUCUUGAGGGUGUCCCAUAUCUGCUUGGCAUUGUCCAAGCCGCUCACCUUAUUGUACUCUUCCCUGCACAAAGAUGCUAGGAGAACAGUAGUAGCUUGUGCAUUUCUAUGAAUUUGUUCAUUUAUAAGCAUAGGGCUAUCUGAGCUAUCAAAUUUCAUUCCAUUCUCCACAAUCUCCCAUAUGCUUGGAUGGAGAGAGAAUAAGUGACUACGCAUUUUGUGACUCCAAAAUCCGUAGUCCUCCCCAUCGAAGUGUGGAGGUUUGCCAAGAGGAAUGGAAAGCAAAUGCGAAUUCGAACUAUGUUGAAUACGAGAAUAAUCAAAUGAAAAGUUCGAAUUGACCGUCUUUUUGUAGUCGUUGUCAUCAUCCUUUUGGGAAGAAGUAGACUCAUCACUAUCGUCGUAGUAGAUGAUCUCCUUGAUGCGCCUUGUCUUCUUCUUCUUCCCUUCCUUCCGUCUAUGCCCCGAGCCAGAGUCGGUAGGCUUGUCGUCCUUCGGCUCGUUGACGAAGGAUUCCUUCUCUUUGUCGUUGAUCACGAUUCCCUUCCCCUUAGGAUCCAUCUCUUCGGGCGGUAAGUCCCUUUGUGAAGAGAACGACUCUGAUACCAAUUGAGAGCACCUAGAGGGGGGGGUGAAUAGGUGAUCCUGUAAAAACUUAACUUAUAGCCACAAAAACUUGUUAGGGGUUAGCUCAAUAAUUGCCAAGUGGCUAAAGAGGAGAUCUUGCACAACGCGACAAUCACAGAGAAUUCAACACAGAGGAGACACGGUGAUUUAUCCCGUGGUUCGGCCAAGUACAAAACUUGCCUACUCCACGUUGUGGCGUCCCAACGGACGAGGGUUGCAAUCAACCCCUCUCAAGCGGUCCAAAGACCCACUUGAAUACCACAGUGUUUUGCCUUGCUUAUCUUUAUCCCACUCGCGAGGAAUCUCCACAAAUUGGAGUCUCUCGCCCUUACACUUAAGAUUCACAGAGAAGCACGGAGUAAGGGAGGGAAGCAACACACACAAAUCCACAGCGAAACGCGCACACACACGGCCAAGAUUCGAGCUCAAAGACUAUCUCACAGUUUCUCACAAGAACAGAGCUCGAAUCACUUAGAAUCACGAACGGAUGCGCAAAGACUUAGUGUGGAUGAUCAAGAAUGCUCAAGAGUUGCUUGGUGUCUUCCUCCAUGCGCCUAGGGGUCCCUUUUAUAGCCCCAAGGCAGCUAGGAGCCGUUGAGAGCAAAUCUGGAAGGCCAUCUUUGCCUUCUGUCGUCGGGCGCACCGGACAGUCCGGUGCACACCGGACCGUGUCCGGUGCCCGAUUCCUUUCCUUAAAUGGCGAAGCCGACCGUUGCAGAUGCGGGAGCCGUUGGCGCACCGGACAUGUCCGGUGCACACCGGACAGUCCGGUGCCCCCUUCCGACCGUUGGCUCGGCCACGUGUCCCGCGCUGAUCGCGCGGCCGACCGUUGGCCCUGGCCGACCGUUGGCUCACCGGACAGUCCGGUGCACACCGGACAGUCCGGUGAAUUUUAGCCGUACGCCGUCAGCAAAUUCCCGAGAGCGGCCUCUUCGGCCGAGGGAGCCUGGCGCACCGGACACUGUCCGGUGCACCACCGGACAGUCCGGUGCCCCAGACCGAAACAGCCCCUUGGCUGUACACAGCCAAGUCUUCUCUUCUCUUCUUCUUUCUGUUUCUAACACUUAGACAAAUAUAUUAGUACACAAAACCAAUGUACUAAGACUUAGAAACAUACCUUUGUUGAAGAUUUGCACUUUGUUCAUCCAUGGGCAUUGAUUCACAUUUAAGCACUUGUGUUGACACUCAAUCACCAAAAUACUUAGAAAUGGCCCAAGGGCACAUUUCCCUUUCAACCGGCCGUGGUGCCUGAAUUUGCCGAAGGAGCCUCUUCAACUGCUGAAGCAAGACGAGCUGCUUCAAUUGCAUAGAGCGUUGAAGAGCCAACUGUAGUGCCGAAGAUGCCUACAGUCGGGCCAGCCGAAUCUAAAGAUGAUAAGGCCGAAGAGCCACAAGUGAAAAAGUGAUAAAAAUGCCAGAAAUCCUGAGCUCUCCAACAGAGGUAAAACUGCCUAAGGUGCAAAAGGCUUCUGCCGUGACUCCCAAGAGAAGGAGGAUGGCCAACGUGCUGGAUGCUGUGCUAGAGACUACAAAGGCCUUGAGCCCUGCUCCUACAAAGAAAAUUGCUAAAGCUGCCAAAGCGCAAGCCGAAGCCGAAACUGGGCAAGCAGAAGCCGAAGCUACGAAAACUCAGGCUGAAGCCGAAGCUGGGCCUUCAGCGCUCGUCGCGGCGAAGCCUGCCGCGCCUCAGGAAAAAACGGCAGAGCAAAUUGGACCUGAAAAGAUUGAGACUCCUGCUCCCGAAGCUCCGAUCGAAAAUGUUGACUACAUCAUUCGACACGCUUCAGGGAAGAAAUUGUCCGAAGAAGAAAUACUGGAAGCCAGACACUAUGCGUGAAAGUUGAAAUAUCCGAAGGGAGCUUUAGUGUUUAACGGCACUAACGAUGAUGGCUUCUUAUAUUGUCUCCCGGACAACAAAGAAAUAUCCGUUUGCCGGGAGAUAGGUAAGAGCAUGGGAUUUCCAAAGCUGGAAGAUGGCCUUUCGAUUUUGUCGAAGGAUGAUCUUGCUGACAGCCUAGCAUACAACAGGAUAAAGGUAUAGAAGUUAACUUUGAAUUUGAGAAUGAAGUAUUUUAUUUGUCAUGCUCAAUUCUUUCCUCCUCUUUGCAGAGCUUAAUUCUUAGUAAUGCCCUUAGGGCGCAGAAGAAUAUUGAAGACGAAAGCUAUACAAUGGCUCUUAAUAACCUUCGUUUAGAGGUGAUUGAAUUGAGAAAUGAAGGUCUGGAAAAGGACAAAAUCUUAAUUUCAUUGGUGACAAAGUAAAGGAAGACGAAGCUAAUUUCAAAGCUCAGGCUGAAGCCCAGAAAACUGAAAUUGAAGACCUUCAGAGACAACUGGCCGAAGCUAAGGAAAACUGCGCACUCGCACAGGUUAAUCAAGAAAUCAACGAAUAUUGGAAAAAUUAUCUAGAGAAAAAUCUUAAGGAACUUCGUGAAUCCAAGGAAUGGUGCUUCGAGAAAUCCUUGGAUUGCGUGAGAAAAUUAAAAACUAGCAUCGCCAAAGUGGGUGCCUACUCUGCUGAAGAAAACUUCAUACGAGGCGACCCCGAAGGCGUUAUUGAAUGGAUAAGUGGAGAAGCCGAAGCCUUCAAAGAAAUUUUGAGUGAUCGCGAUGAUGUUUGUGCGUUUUUCGGUGCGCGGGGGAUUUCAGCCAUCUUGGAGAAGGCCGGGUGUGAUCACGUGAAGACCAUGGCCCAGGCCGAAGCUGUCUUCUCCGUAGAUGAUACAAAGGAUCCUUCAGCCGAAGCAACUUUAAUAGGCGGAAAAUUUUAUAACGAUGUCUGGGUGAACGGUGGCCGGGAGCUAGCCCACGAAAUUAUUAAAAAGAGCAAAAAAGACACCCACAACGCCAGAGCAGAAGCAAAGCAAGCUGAAGAAGCUACAGAACGCGAAAUGCGUAUAGGUAUUAUUUUUUGGCUUUUUAGCUUCGGUACUUGUUUUGUGGCUUCAAACUAAUCAAUUUUUCCUACUUCAGCUGAACUACCUCCGCCGCCAGAACCGUACGAUCCCCUAGCUGAUCUAGAAAUGAAGGAAGCGCUGGACAUCAUAAACAUAACUGAAACCAUUAUCGACGAAGUCGUCAACAAAUUACUGAACGAAGUUGCAGAGAAAGUCCUUAAAGAGGAAUAAGUUUUAUUGUAAUGAUAGCUGGAAUGUAUGGAACAAUUUAAGUAAGAUUAAGUUUCUAUUGUAACAAAACUAUGUGACAUUUAAUGUAUGUAACAUUGAGUGGAAUAUGUAAAUUAUUGUAAUUUAAUUUCUUUGCGAUGCAUGAAAUAUGUACACAUACUGUUUUUGAGCUUUCGGCGAAAAAACACCUUCCCUUCUUUUUAUGCUUUGUAAAGAAAGAGAUCCCUUCUUAUGAUAAGGCUGUCAAAACUGUAUUUCCCGAAGCUCACUUCGUGCCUUAGCACAUUUUCAAUUUGACGAAGCAUUUGACGAAGGUCGGCUUCGUAUUCGAUUCUUGUGCCGUUAAUGCAAUAUGAUGUAUGAUGUAAUGUUGUGCAAAAUGAUGUGAUGGUAAGAUGCAAAAUGAUGAGGAUGCCGAAGCCACACACCCACUCGCCCACACUAGAACACACAAGCUCUGCAUCCCCUUAGGAACGACUUUUGAGCUUCUUCACCUUCUAUUUCGGUGAUAUAAGUUCUGCAUCCCCUUAGGAACGUCUUUUGAACUUCUUCGCCUUCUAUUUCGGCGGUAUAAGUUCUGCAUUCCCUUAGGAACGACUUUUGAACUUCUUCACCUUAUAUUUCUGUGGUAUUUGGCUCUGCAUUCCCUUUGGAACGACUUUUGAGCAGAAAACUUACGCUGAGCUCCCUUAGGAACGACUUUUGUAGUUUCGGCAAUUUGGGCUCUGCAUUCCCUUAGGAACGACUUUUAAGCACAAAACUUACGUUGCGCUCCCUUAGGAACGACUUUUUGUAGCUUCGGCAAUUUGGGCUCUGCAUUCCCUUAGGAAUGACUUUUGAGCACAAAACUUACGCUGCGCUCCCUCAGGAACGACUUUUUAUAGCUUCGGCAAUUUGGGCUCUGCAUUCCCUUAGGAACGACUUUUUAGCUUCGUAAAUCUGUGAAGAAGAUAUAUUUCAUUCUGAUAGAAGCAAAAUCAUUACAACAAAUUAAAACUAAGUUUUCAUUGUUUGUUCUUUAUUCAAAAAGCGAAAUAGCCUAGAAAAUAAAAGUAUUUGAGAAGCAGGAUAUUGCUCAGUAUAUGUGCUUUGAUUCUGGCACAGUACUAUUGACUGUAUGAGCUUUGGACUCCUCCCUGAAGGCACGUUGUUGUUGGGAGUGUUGGCACCCUUCUGGCUGUUGGCUUCGGGAAUAAGUAGGUUGCAGUGGUGGUGGUAGUGGGAGCUGAGGCCAAGAAGCUUGUGAAUGGCUUACCGAAGCAACAGAAGCUGCAGGUUGGUUGCCCACAUAUUCUGGUAUGUAAGGAGAGUGGCACGAAGCAGUAUGUAAAACCUGCUUCAGCAAUCUCUUUUUGCUUCAGAAUAGUGAUCUGGCACGUUCUUGUAGUAUGACCCUUGUCGUCACCACAGAAUAAGCAAUAGAUUUUCCUGGGCUAAUCACAAUAUCUUCCUCCGAAGCCCCUACCGCCUCUGCCCCUUGGAGAUGAUGGCCUGAAGGAGCUUUGCUGCUGUCCCGAAGAUUGUGAGGUGUGCUGUGGCCUCUGAAACUGGAUUCCUUUGUCAUCAUUCUGACUGGAGCUAUGGAUUGAUCUGACAUGCCUAGGAUGGAUUCUCCCUCCAAAACCCCUAGUCAUCUCAGAAAAUCUAUAAGCUUCCUCCCUUCUUUGUCGGAAGUCGUUAUCAGCUCGGAUGUACUCAUCCAUUUUCUGAAGCAGCUUCCCUAGAGUCUGGGGGGGUUCCUGGCGAAGUAUUGGGCUGUAGGUCCUGGCCGAAGACCCUUGAUCAUGGCCUCAAUGACGAUUUCAUUGGGCACUGUAGGCGCUUGUGCUCUAUCGCAAGAACCUUCGGACAUACGCCUGGAGGUAUUCCUCAUGGUCUUGUGUGCACUGGAACAAGGCCUGAGCUAUGACUGGCUUCGUCUAAAAGCCUUGAAAACUGGUAACCAGCAUGUCCUUGAGCUUCUGCCAUGACGUGAUUGUCCCUGGCCGGAGAGAAGAGUACCAUGUCUGGGCCACAUUUCGGACUGCCAUGACAAAGGACUUUGCCAUGACAGCUGUGUUGCCUCCAUAUGAGGAUAUUGUUGCCUCAUAGCUCAUCAAGAAUUGUUUUGGGUCUGAGUGCCCAUCGUACAUGGGUAGGUGAGGUGGCUUGUAGGAUUGUGGCCAUGUGAUAGCCUGCAAUUAUGCCGCCAGAGGAGAAGCAUCAUCAAAAGUAAAGCUACCAUGAUUAAAAUCAUCGUACCAUUCUUCUUUGUUGAAUGAGCCCUCUUGACGAAGCUCUUUGUGUUGGGGCCUUUGGUCACGAUCAUCUUGAGUAAGAUGAAGCACUUUCUCAGUAGCUUCGUCGAGCUUCUUCUGAAGGUCGGCUAGCCGAGCCAUUUUCUCCUUUUUCCUUUGCACCUGCUGGUGAAUGAUUUCUAGGUCCCUGAUCUCCUGGUCCAACUCCUCCUCCUGAAGUGUUGGACUGGUGGCCUUUCUCUUUUGGCUUCUGGCCUCUUGAAGAGAGAGAGAGUCUCCUGAUUUGUGUCCAGUGGCUGCAGUGCAGCCCCUGGUGCUAUUAUCUUCUUCAGCGGCAUGACGAAGGUUGAUGCUUUACCGAAGAGUGUGGGAGUGAGUACACCGGAGGUGGGCGCCAAUGUUGGGGACUUGUUCUCAAAUGCUAUGAGUCAAGAACAAGGCAACACAAAAUGUUAAUGAUUAAAGCCCUUCGUCCUCCGAAGCAUUAUCUCCCUUAGGAUAUAAUGAUCUUCAGACGAAGGUCAUGAAGGACGAACCUUCAUCGUCGCAAUAUAUAUUAAUGAAAGAAGAAACAUAUGAAACAUGAGAGACAACAUGAAUAAUUAUACAACAUCUUUUAUAUAUCUUUAUUAAAUUAUCAUAAAUGAAUAUGAACAAUAUUGAAUUACAUUUGUACCUUCGGCUUGACAGAAGGCAAAAGUCCAAGCGUGACGCACGAAUGAAUACAAGUCAGCGUGAACAGUACGAGGGUACUGUUCAUCUAUUUAUAGGCACAGAGCGCAGCCUGUGUAAAAUUACAUUCAUGCCCUUUGUGUUUAUUAUUGACGUAAGGACAAGCUAACGAGGACUAGAUAGCCUUUUCCCCUUUAAGUCGGUUCUUUUUCCUGCCGCUGAGCCGAAGCUGCCUUGCUCGUAGCUUCAGAGCUGCGUCAUCCUUCAUCUCGACCAAGCUUUUCAUAUUGUGUACAAUUUCAUUCUGAGUCCGAAGGUACCUGUACAUAUAUUACACUUGGGAAACAUUGUUAAAUCAUGUUUUUGAGGACCUUCGGAAGACGAAGGCCCCCAAUAGAAAUUAUCCAGCGCCCCAUCUGGUCUCGCUUUGGCCUUCGAAGGCCGAAGGUGGCUAUUGAAAGUGACAUCGAAGCAUGCCAGAAGGCAUUUAGCAAUGUUUGCACCUUCAUUGGUACAAGAGAUAUAGUCCAAGAGCACAUAGCCUAUAGGGUGUGGCCACUUGUGGAGAGCUAGGAUAUGCCGAAGGAGACUACUGCUGAAUCCAGUGAAAAUGGCUUAGUUCGAUUGAAGUAUACCUUCAGAUUUAGGGAGAAGUUUUAUGAACCAAAUGAUGACUGGUUGAAAUGCAUUGAAGCUACCAGCGACGAGCUACUCGGGACAUAUUUCCAAGGCCGAAGAUGAUGCCUUGUCCGCAGCCUUCGGGGGCCGGGGGAAGAAAAGAUUGAAUAGGGUAUUCGAUGCAGUUGGCUUCGUAUACCCUGAUUAUCACUACUCGCUGCAAAGGCAAGGGAAGAAGAGAAAAACUGUUGCUUCGGCUACCACUGUUGUGCCGAAGGGCAAGAAAAUGAAGGUUCUGACCCACCGGCCAUGAUAUAUUGAACCGAGCGUAGUGCCUAAAUUUGUCAAAGGGACCUCUUCAACUGCCGAAGCAAAACAAGCUGCUUCCAUGGUGCAGAGCGUUGAAGAGUCUAUUGUAAUGCCGAAGGUGCCUACAGUCAGGCCAGCCGAAGCUAAAGAUGAUACGGUCGAAGAGCCAAAGGUGGAAGAAACAGUAAAAAUGCUAGAAAUUCUGAGCCCACCGGUAGAGGCAAAUUCGUCGAAGAUGCAAAAAGGUCCUACCACAACUCCCAAGAGGAGGAGGAUGGCCAGCGUGCUAGAUGCUGUUAUGGAGACCACAAAGGCCUUGACCCCUGCUCCUAUUAAGAAAGUUGCCGAAGUUGCUAAGGUCCAGGCCGAAGCCGAAGCUGGGCCUGCAGUGCUCAUUGAGACGAAGGCUGUCGCGCCUGACGACAAAGGUGAUCAACAAACUUCAGAUACCGACAUGGCAGCAGGGCAAGGUAUGGCAGAAAAAGCAAAGUCCCCUACCCCCGAAGCUUCAGUCGAAGAUAUUGAUUACAUUUUUCGACAUGCUUCGGGGAAAAAAUUAUCCGAAGAAGAAAUCAUGGGAGCCCGACACUAUGCCCAAAAACUAAAAUAUCCGAAAGGGGCCUUAGUGUUUAAUGGCACUAACGAAGAUGAUUUCCUCUAUCUCCCAGACAACAAAGAAAUAUCUGUUUGCCGGGAGAUAGCUAAAAGUAUGGGAUUUCGAAGCUUGAGGAAGGGCUUUCGGUUAUGUCGAAGGAUGAUCUUGCUGAUAGCCUCGCGUACAACAGUAUAAAGGUAUAGAAGUUAACUUUGAAGUUGGAAACAAAGUAUUUUAUUGUCAUGCUUAAUUCUUUCUUCUUCUUUGCAGGGCUUGAUUCUUAGUAAUGCCUUGAGGACACAAAAGAGCGCCGAAGACGAAGGCUGUACAAUAGCUCUCAGCAACCUUCUCUUAGAGGUGAUUGAACAGAGAAAUGAAGGUCUAGAGAAAGACAAAAUUUUGAUUUUAUUGCUGAGUAAAAUAAAAGAAGACAAAGCUAAGUACAAUGCUCAGGCCGAAGCCCAAAAAGCCAAGGUUGAAGACCUUCGGAGACAGCUAACCGAAGCUAAUGAGAAAUGCGCGCUCGCACAGGCUAACCAAGAGAUUAGUGAAUAUUGGAAGAAUAAGCUAGAGAAAAAUGUUGAAGAACUUCGCGAAUCUAAGGAAAAGUGUUUUGAAAAAUCUUUGGAUUGUGUGAAGAAAUUAGAAACUAGCUUCUCCAAAGUGGUGCCUACUCUUCUGAAGAAAAUUUUAUCCGAGGCGACCUCGAGGGCGUUAUUGAAUGGAUAGGUGGAGAAGCCGAAGCUUUUGAGGAAAUCUUGAAUGAUCGUGGGGGGGUAUUUGUGCUUUUUCCGACACUCGGGGAAUCACAGCUAUUCUGGAGAAGGCCGGAUGUGAUCACGUUAAGGCUAUAGCCUAGGCCGAAGCUGCCUUCUCCAUAGACGACACGAAUGAUCCUUCAGCUGAAGCACCUUUAGUGGACGGGAAAUUUUAUUCUGAUGGCUGGGUGAAUGGUGGCCGAGAGCUGGGCAACGGAAUUAUAAAAAAGAAUGAAAAAGACACCCACGACGCCCAGGAAGAAGCAAAGCGAGCUGAAGAGGCUGCUGAAUGUGAAAAGCGCAUAGGUAUUGUUUUUGAUUUUUUGGCUUUAGUACUUGCUUUGUGGCUUCGAACUAACAGUUUACCUACUACAUCUGAACUAUCCCCGCCACCGGAGCCGUACAAUCCCCUAGCUGAUCCAGAGAUGAAGGAAGCACUGUAUAUUAUAAGCAUGGCGAACUCCAUUAUCGACGAAGUCGUCGAUAAACUAUUGAAUGAAGUCGCAGAGAAAGUCCUUAGAGAAGAAUAUAUUUUAUUGUAAUAAUAUUUUGAAAUGCUUGAUGUAUGGAACAAUUGAAGGAAGAUUAGGUGUCUAUUGUAACAAAACUAUGUAACAUUUGAUGUAUGUAACAUUGAAUCGAAUAUGUAAACUGUUGUAAUUUAUUUCUUUGCGAUGUAUGAAACAUACACACAUACCGCUUUUUGAGCCUUCGGCAAAAAACACCUUCCCUACUUUUCAUGCUUUGCAAAGAAGAAAGCCCCUUCUAGGGCAGAUCUGAUAGAAUUGUCACCCGAAGUUUGCUGCGUGCCUUAGCACAUUUUCAUUCAAUCGAAGUAUUUCCAAAGAUUUGCUUCGUAUUCAAUCUUUCUGUUGAUGCGAUAUGAUGUAUGAUGUGAUACUAUGCUAAAUGAUGCGAUGAUAUGAUGCAAUAUGACGAUGCUUUAACACCCACACAUACGCACACACUGGUACACGGAAGACUCUGCAUCCCCUUAGGAACGUCUUUUGAGUCUAAGCUCUACAUCCCCUUAGGAAUGACUUUUGAGAUUCUUCACCUUCUAUUUCGGUGGUAUAAGUUCUGCAUCCCCUCAGGAAUGACUUUUGAACUUCUUCGCCUUAUAUUUCGGUGGUAUUUGGCUCUGCAUUCCCUUUGGAACGACUUUUGAGCAGAAAACUUACACUGCGCUCCCUUAGGAACGACUUUUUGUAGCUUCGUCAAUUUUGGCUCUGCAUUCCCUUAGGAACGACUUUUGAGCAGAAAACUUACGCUGCGCUCCCUUAGGAACGGCUUUUGUAACUUCGUCAAUUUUUGCUCUGCGUCCCUUAGGAAAGACUUUUGAGCUUCGGAAAUUUACUCCACUUUCUUAGACAUGUCUUUUGAGCUUCGAAAACCCGUGAAGAAGAUAUAUUUCACUCUGGUGCAAGCAUGAUUAUUACAAAAAUUGAAAUUAAGCUCUUCAUUAUUUGUUUCUUACACAGAAAAUAAAAUGACAUAAAAGAUAAAAGUGCUUCAAACGUAGGAUAUUCCUCAGUAUAUGUGCUUCGAAUCUGGUACAGUGUUGUUGACUGUACGAGCUUCGGACUCCUCCCUGAAGUCACGUUGCUGUUGGGGAUGCUGGCGCCCUUCUGGCUGCUGGCUUUGGGUAUGAGUAGGUGGCAAUGGUGGUGGCAGUGGGAGCUGAGGCCAGGAUGCUUGUGAAUGGCUUGCCGAAGCGACAAAAGCUGCAGGUUGAUUGCCCACAUAUUCUGGUAUGUAGGGAGAGUAGCACGAAGCAGUAUGUAAAACCCGCUUCGGCUGAUUCUGUCGGGCUUCUGCUUCGGCAAUCUCUUUCUGCUUCUAAAUGGUAGCCUGGCAUGUUCUUGUUGUGUGGCCCUUGUCUUCACCAUAGAAUAAGCAAUAGAUUUUCCUGGGCUGAUCCCCAUAUCUUCCUCCGAAGCCCCUGCCGCCUCUGCCCCUUGGAGCUGGUGGCCUGAAGGAGCUUUGCUGCUGUCCUGAAGACUGUGAGCUGUGCUGUGGCCUCUGAAACUGGCUUCCUCUAUCAUCACUUUGACUGAAGUUGUGGAUUGAUCUGACAUGCCUAGGGUGGAUUCGUCCUCUGAAGCCCCUAGUCAUCUCAGAAAACCUAUAAGCUUCUUCCCUUCUCUGGCGAAAAUCAUUAUCGCCUCGAAUGUACUCAUCCAUCUUCUGAAGUAGCUUCUCCAGGGUCUAAGGGGUUUCCUGGCAAAAUAUUGAGCUAUAGGUCUUGGCCGAAGCCCUUUGAUCAUGGCAUCAAUGAUGAUUUCAUUGGGCACUGUGAGCGCUUGUGCUCUCAGACGCACUGGAAUAAAGCUUGAGCAGUAACCGGAAUAAAGCUUGAGCAGUAACCGGCUUCGUCUGAAACCCUUGGAAACUGGUGAUCAGCAUGUCCUUCAGCUUCUGCCAUGAUGUGAUUGUUCUUGGCCGAAGAGAGGAGUACCAGGUUUGCGCAACGUUCUUGACUGCCAUGACGAAGGAUUUCGUCAUGACUGCAGUAUUGCCCCCAUAUGAAGAUAUGGUUGCUUCGUAGCUCAUCAGAAACUGCUUCGGAUCAGAGUGCUCAUCAUACAUGGGAAGCUAGGGUGGUUUGUAUGAUGGAGGCCAUGGUGUAGCCUGUAGUUCUGCUGACAAAGGAGAAGCAUCAUGAAAAGCAAAAUUUCCAUGGUGGAAAUCAUUAUACCACUCGUCAUCAUCAUAGGAAUUGUCCUGGCGAAGCUCCCUACGUUGAGGUCGUCGGUCCUGGUCAUCUUGGGUGAGAUGACGCAUCUCCUCAGCGGCCUCGUCGAUCUUCUUCUGAAGAUCAGCAAGAUGAAGCAUCUUAUCCUUCUUCCUUUAGACCUACUGAUUGAUUACUUCGAGGUCCCUAAUUUCUUGGUCCAGCUCCUCCUCCUGAGGCGUUGGACUUGUAGCCUUCCUCUUUUGAUUUCUGGCUUCAUGCAAUGUUUCGUGAUUGACGUCCAGUGGUUGCAGUGCAGCCCCUAGCCCUGAAGCUUUCUUUGGCGGCAUGAUGAAGGUCACAGCGUGCCGAAGGUGGUCAAAUGAGUUCACCGAAGGUGGGCGCCAAUGUUGGUCACUUGUUCUCAAAUGCUAAGAGUUAAGAACAUGGCAACACAAAAUGUUAACGGUUAAAUACCUUCGUCCUUCGAAGCAUUAUCUCCUUUAGGAUAUAAUGAUCUUUAGAUGAAGGUUAUGAAGGACGUACCUUCAUAAUCUCAAUAUAUAGUAAUGAAAGUAUAAGUAUAUGAAAUAUGGAAAACAACAUGAAUAAUCAUAUGACAUAAUCAGAACAUUUUUAUUAUCUCCUCAUGAAUAAACAUGAACAAUAUCGAGUUACAUUUGUACCUUCGGUUUGACAGAAGGCAAAAAUCCAAGUGUGACGUGCGAGUGAAUACAAGUCAGCGUGAACAGUACGGUGUUACUGUUCAUCUAUUUAUAGGCACAUGAUGCAGCCUAUGUAAAAUUACAUCCAUGCCCUUUAUGUUUACUAUUGACUUAACGACAAUCUACUGAGGACUAGAUAGCCUUUUCCUCUUUAAGUCGGUUUCAUUUUCCGCCGCUGAGCCGAAGCUUUUCUACGCGUAGCUUCAGAGCUGGUUCAACCUUCUUCCAGACCAUGCUUUUCAUAUGGUAUACAACUUCAUUCCGAGGCCGAAGGUCCCUGUAAAUGUAUUAUACUUGGAAAACAUGUUAAUUGUGUUUUUGAGGACCUUCGGAAGGCGAAGGCCCCCAACAGCUCCCAAUCUCAACAAAGAGAAAGGGAAGGCUCCCAUGGCUGGUAGCUCUCAAAAGAAUCAUGCCUAUCUUUAUGAUAAGAAAGUUACGAGUAAUACUCAUCAUGAUAGGCGCCAUAAUCAUGUUGUUUAUCCUAUAUGUCAUGAUGCUGCAUUUAAUUCUCACGCCAUGUUUGCAUCUAGCUCUUCAUAUGCUCAUGGUAGAAAUAGGCCUAGGCGCCAUUAUGCUGCUUCUCAUGCGCCUAGGAGAGCAUCAACUGGACCGACUAUGCUUUAUCAAACAUGUAAUGCUUCAUUUGUUCUUACAUGCAAAAAUGAUAAAGUAGUUGCUAGAAGUGUGGGACCUAAGUGCAAGAGAGACAAAACUUGCAUCUGGGUUCCAAAGUCUGUUGUGACUAACCUUGUAGGACCCAACAAGAGUUGGGUACCUAAAACCCAAGCUUAAUUACCUUGCAGGUUUAUGCAUUCGAGGGCUCAAGCUGGAUUAUUGAUAGCGGAUGCACAAACCACAUGACGGGGGAGAAUAAAAUGUUUACCUCCUACGUCAAGAAUAGGGAUUCCCAAGACACUAUCAUCUUUGGAGAUGGGAACCAAGGCAAGGUUAAGGGCCUAGGCAAAAUAUCCAUCACAACCGAGCAUUCAAUUUCAAAUGUGUUUCUAUUAAAAUCGCUCGGGUACAAUUUAUUGUCUGUAAGCCAAUUAUGUCAUAUGAGUUAUAAUUGCUUAUUUACAAAUAUUGAUGUAUCUGUCUUUAGAAGAAGUGAUGGUUCAUUAGCUUUUAAGGGUGUAUUAGAUGACAAGCUCUAUUUAGUUGUUUUCUCAAAAGAGAAUGCCGAUAUAGAUGCAUGCUUAAUCGCUAAGACUAAUAUGGGCUGGCUUUGGCAUCGCCGUCUAGCACAUGUUGGGAUGAAGAAUCUUCAUAAACUUCUAAAGGGAGAACAUGUGUUAGGACUAACCGACGUCUGUUUUGAGGAAGACAGACCUUGUGCAGCGUGCCAAGCAGGGAAGCAGGUGGGAAGUACUCAUCAAAGCAAGAACGCGAUGACAACAUCAAGACCACUGGAACUCCUACAUAUGGAUCUCUUCGGGCUCGUUGCUUAUCUCAGCAUCGGGGGAAGUAAGUAUGAUCUUGUCAUUGUUGAUGAUUUUCCCACUUCACUUGUGUGUUCUUUUUGCAGGAUAAAUCUGAAACCCAAGGAACUCUAAAGCACUUCUUAAGGAGAGCUCAAAAUGAAUUUGAGCUAAAGGUGAAAAAGAUAAGGAGCGAUAAUGGAUCUGAGUUCAAGAACCUUCAAGUCGAAGAAUAUCUUGAGGAGGAAGGCAUCAAGCACGAGUUCUCUGCUCCCUACACACCACAACAAAAUGGUGUAGUAGAAAGGAAAAACAUGAUGCUAAUUGACAUGGCAAGGACAAUGCUUGGAGAAUACGAGACGCCUGAGCGGUUUUGGUCGGAAGCUGUGAAUACAGCCUGCCAUGCCAUAAACCGGCUCUAUCUGCAUCGCCUCCUCAAGAAGACAUCCUAUGAACUCCUAACCGGUAACAAACCAAAUGUUUCCUAUUUUCGUGUAUUUGGGAGCAAAUGCUACAUCUUAGUGAAGAAAGGUAGGCAUUUGAAGUUUGCUCCCAAAGUUGUAGAAGGGUUUUUACUUGGUUAUGACUCAAAUACAAAAGCGUAUAGGGUCUUCAACAAAUCAUCGGGAUUAGUUGAAGUCUCUAGCGACGUUGUAUUUGAUGAAACUAAAGGCUCUCCAAGGGAGCAAGUUGAUCUUGAUGAUGUAGAUGAAGACGAGAUUCCGACGGCCGUAAUGCGAACAAUGACAAUAGGUGAUGUGCGACCACAGGAACAACUAGAGCAAGAUCAACCUUCUUCCUCUACAUUGGUGCAUCCCCCAACUCAAGAUGAGGAACAGGUACCUCAAGAUGAAGGGAUGGAUGAAGGGGGAGCACAUGAAGAACAGGAUAAGGAGGAAGAUGUGUUACAAGUUCCUCCAACUCAAGUUCGGUCAACAAUCGAAAGAAAUCAUCCAGUGGAUCAGAUUCUGGGUGAUAUCAGCAAGGGAGUAACCACUCGCUCACCUCUAGCUAAUUUUUGUGAGCAUUACUCGUUUGUUUCUUCUAUUGAGCCUUUCAGGAUAGAAGAAGCCUUGCAGGAUCCGGACUAGGUGUUGGCCAUGCAGGAAGAGCUCAACAACUUCAAAAGAAAUGAAGUGUGGAGCCUAGUGCCACGUCCGAAGCAAAAUGUUGUAGGAACCAAGUGGGUGUUCCGCAACAAGCAAGAUGAACACAAUGUGGUGACAAGAAACAAAGCUCGACUUGUGGCAAAAGGUUAUGCCCAAGUCAUAGGUUUGGAUUUUAAGGAGACUUUUGCUCCUGUAACUAGGCUAGAAUCAAUUCGAAUAUUAUUAGCCUAUGCUGCUCACCAUUCUUUUAAGCUGUUCCAAAUGGACGUGAAGAGCGCUGUCGGCGUUUCGAGACCGAGGGGUCCCUGGGCCGACGAGUGAAAUGUCGCCGCGUGCCCCAGCCCAGAUGGGUUGACGUGAGGCCGAGCACGAAGGGGGGAGAAAGGUGGCCGGAGACAGGCGUGAGAGAGGUGGAAAUCCCACGACCUUCGUGUUCAUCCCGUGCCCAGGUCGGGUGCACUUGCAGUAGGGGAUUACAAGCGUCCACGCAGGAGAGGGAGCGAGCGGCUUCAAGCGAGCGCCUGUCUCGUCCUCGUCCCCGCGCGGCCAACCCUCUCUAAGAGGGCCCUGGUCCUUCCUUUUAUAGGCGUAAGGAGAGGAUCCAGGUGUACAAUGGGGGGUGUAGUAGAGUGCUACGCGUCUAGCGGAGGAGAGCUAGCGCCCUAAGUACACGCCAUCGUGGCGGCCGGAGAGGUUAUGGUGCCCGGUUCGUGUGAUGUCGUGGCCGUCGGAGGAGUGCUGGAGCCUGGCGGAGGGACAGCUGUCGGAGUUGUCGAGUCCUUGCUGACGUCCUCUUGCUUUCGUAAGGGGGUUGAGAGCCGCCGUCGUCAGGGAGCGUGCGGGGAGCCAUCAUUGCCUAUCUGGCGGAGCGAGCCAGAUGGGACGCCGGUCUCGUUUCUCGUAGCCUGAGUCAGCUUGGGGUAGGGUAAUGAUGGCGCCUCCCGUUGACGUGGCUGGUAUGCGCCCUAGGUUGGGCGAUGUGGUGGCUCCUCCGAGGUCGAGGUCGAGUCUAUCUUCCGUGGCCGUGGUCGAGUCCGAGCCCCUGGGUUGGGCGAGGCGGAGACCGUCGGCUGAGGUCAGGGCUGAGUCCGAGCCCUGGGGUCGGGCGAAGCGGAGUUCGUCGUCUUCUGGGGCUGAGCCCAAGUCCGAGCCCUGGGUCGGGCGGAGCGGAGUUCGCCGUCUUCCGGGGCUUAGCCUGAGUCCGAGCCCUGGGUCGGGCGGAGCGGAGUUCGCCGUCUUCCGGGGCUUAGCCCGAGUCCGAGCCCUGGGUCGGGCGGAGCGGAGUUCGCCGUCUUCCGGGGCUUAGCCUAAGUCCGAGCCCUGGGUCGGGCGGAGCGGAGUUCGUCGUCUUCUGGGCUGAGCCCAAGUCCGAGCCCUGGGUCGGGCGGAGCGGAGUUCGUCGUCUUCCGGGGCUUAGCCCGAGUCCGAGCCCUGGGUCGGGCGGAGCGGAGCUUCCUAUGGCGCCUGAGGUCGGGCCUGACUGCCUGUCAGCCUCACUCUGUCAGAUGGCACUGCAGUCGGUGCGGCGCAGGCGACGCUGUCCUUCUGUCAGGUCGGUCAGUGGAGCGGCGAAGUGACUGCGGUCACUUCGGCUCUGUCGACUGAAGGGCACGCGUCAGGAUAAUGGUGUCAGGCCACCUUUGCAUUAAAUGCUCCUGCGAUUUGGUCAGUCGGCGCGGCAAUUUGGUCAGGGUUGCUUCUUAGCGAAGACAGGGCCUCAGGCGAGCCGGAAAUGUGUUCGCCGCUGGAGGGGGGCCUCGGGCGAGACGGAGAUUCUCCGGGGUCGGCUGCCCUUGUCCGAGCCUAGGCUCGGGCGAGGCGUGAUCGAGUCCCUCGAAUGGACCGAUCCCUGACUUAAUCGCACCCAUCAGGCCUUCGCAACUUUAUGCUGAUGGGGGUUACCAGCUGAGAAUUAGGAGCCUUGAGGGUACCCCUAAUUAUGGUCCCCGAUAGUAGCCCCCGAGCCUCGAAGGGAGUGUUAACACUCGCUUGGAGGCUUUUGUCGCACUUUUUUGCAAGGGGACCAGCCUUUCUCGGUUGCGUUUUGUUCCGGUGGGUGCGCGCGAGCGCACCCGCCGGGUGUAGCCCCCGAGGCCUCGGAGGAGUGGUUUGACUCCUCCGAGGUCUUAAUGCCUCGUGCAAUGCUUUGGCUGGUCUGGUCGUUCCCUCAUGCGAGCUGGCCGUAGCCCGGGUGCACGGUCGGGUCCCAAGUUCUCGGGCUAGUAUGUUGACGCUGUCAACGGCUUGGCCGGAGCCGGGUUUGCGAGAGCAGCCCCCGAGCCUCUGCACAGGGCGAGAGGGCGAUCAGGGACAGACUCGACUUUUUUACAUACGCCCCUGCGUCACCUUUCCGCAAGGAGGAGGGGGGGGGGGGAAAGCACCAUGUUGCCCUCGGUGGGCGCCGAACAUGGUGUCUCCGGUGAGCUGCUGGCGGGUAAUCCGAGCGGACGUCCGUGCCCCAUUUGCUAGGGGUCGGCUAGAGGCCCAGAGGCGCGCCCAAAAGUACCUGCGGGUGAUCUGCCGGACCCGGUCCCCUGUCGACGGGGUCCGAGGGCUCGAUGCCUCCCUCUGAUGGGAUUCCAUUACAAGAUCGUUCCCGCUGGUCUCGGAAAUGUCCUAGGGUACCUCAGGAGCGCAGCCCGAGCCUUGGUUAUGUAUCGAACGUACCCAUGGUCAUCCCUCGCUCUGCGUCUGAGGCGGCUGUGGACCCUUUGAGGGCUAGCCUUCGAACCCCUGAUCAGUAGUGGGCGCGGAGCCCGAGUAGCCUGAGGCGGUCGUUGAACCCUUCCGAGGGGCCGGCCUUCGAACCUCUGACCAGUAGUGGGUGUGGAGCCCACGCGCUCUGAGGCGGCUGUUGAACCCCUCCGAGGGGCCAGCCUUCGAACCUCUGAUCAGUAGGGAGGCUCGGAGCCUGGUUCCUUCAUGGGGAAGGAUCCUUUUCGGGGUAUCCCCUUUCCCGGUCCCUGUUGUAAGAGAGAGAAAGAGGAAAAGGAAAAGGAUGCAGAAUUUGAACAACGUGGCGUACCUUUUUCGACGCGGUCAUUAUGGCGAAGGCGAAGCGUCGCCCGCUUCCCCUGCCAGAGGCGCCGCCUGUCCCGCCGCGGAGUUAAUGCGACGGGGCGAGUGGUUUGCGGGGCAGCCGUUGCGCGUGCGCGGGCCGUUCGAGGAACGGAACAUGGGCGCGUCGUCUUCACGCCGUGAGAGAGGGUUCUCUCGCUGCUCCCGGAUGGGACGUAAGCUUGGCUAACGACGUGACCGCUGCUCCUGCCCGCCUGCUACCGCCAUUACUGCCGGCCCAUUUUUGGCCGCAUUGACCAUCGCGCCAGGCUGGCGCUGCUGGGUCGUGCGCUGGGUCGCCUCGAGUCGCGGUAUUGGUUCCGCAGUCGAGGAGGCGCGGUAGUGGCGCGGGCGGCGGUGCAGUUGCUCGCACGCAGCAUCCGGCGCGCCGGUUGCAUGACGCGUGGGCCUGGGCCUCCAUGCUGGGCGUGUUGGAAGUCGGAGAAGUGCCCCCACUUGGCUCGGUUGCAUGCCGCCUGCAUGGCUACCCGCCCUUUCGCCCGCUGGUCUGGGCAAAAGUGGAGGGCCGCUUGUAACCGCUGGGCGGUUGCAUGCGCCGCGCGCGGCGGUUUGGCUUCUUCUGCUCUGGGCCGGCUUACAUGACGUGUGGGACCCAGCCCCCGCGCCGUAGAGGGAGGACCUUGGAGCGUGUUGGAGAAGACUUAGCCCGCGACGGCUGGGGACGCAAGUAGGGAGAGUCGCCUUUAAAAGGAGGGUGACCCCCUUGAAAGGCGACCAUGUCUCCGCGCUCCCUUAUGCAUCGUGUCUUUCCACCUUCCGAGCCCCCGGAUGGGGGAUGCCCGCAGUCCUUCCGCCUUGUCGUUGGGGGAACGCAACUCCGUGGGAGUUGGUACCUUUCAGCCAUCGUUCGGCUUCAAGGAUUUUCAUCACGCAGCCCGGCUGCACCCCUCCGCCGGCGGUCACCCAAGGCGGUGACCUCCAGCCCCUGGAUGGGGAGAGGCAAGCCGGGCUGUGAUCUUGGUCCCGCCCUCAGCUUCAAGGAUGUUCAUCAUCCUUGCUGGGGCGGAGAGCGAGGCGAGCCGGGGCUCUACCUCCCGCGCGGGCCGGCUGGCCACCUCUUCUUCCAGCUUCUGGUGGUGGCAACCAUCCUCCAGCUCUGCGGAGGAGGCAUCCUCCAGCCAUGCCGGGGAAGGCGAACUGUUGCUGCCCAGCUAGGAUGCAACAUUCCGCCCUCUUCCUCGCUUUCGUGGCGAGGACGGGAACGAGGACCUGCCGGUGCGCUUCGGAGCGGCCCGCUCUUUGGCUUUGAUGGCUGGUUCGUGUCCCUUGAGCGGGAACGCGAACAAGAGCCUUCCGGCGACCGCGUCCAUCCUGGGACCAUGGCUGCUGCUGCAGAGGUCGCUGGCGAGUCACCCGGAACUCGUCGCCCCGCAGGCUCCCCGGAGUGGAGGUUGGUCAUACCCGCGGGGACGGAACCGGAGUUCCGUUUGCAAUGGCACUUUGAAUGCCAGUGUUUUUGUUCAUUGUGGCUGUCGAGGCCUGAACAUGUAUGUAUUUUUUCCUCAUUUUCGAGCACUAAGACUCGCCUGUUGGUUGUCUGAACCGCUUCACCAAGCGUGAGUCGCCCCGUGUAAAGGUGACGAGUGAGGUAUCCGUAUCCCGGAGGCGUAGGAGUCCCUCGGCUCGGUCAGCCUUGUUGUCCGAGGCUUCUCUUGCUUAGUUAAAGGAACCCCUCGGCUGCUCUUCGAUGAGCCGAAGCCAGGGGUAGCGGUGUCAGCAUGGACAGAGGCAGAGUUGGCUCGAAAAGAAGACUUGGUUGGCCGGAGCCUAGCCGGGUCGUCCGUUAGCGGGACCGACGCCGGAGUUGAUCUUCCGAGGCCUCGGGCCGGGCUGAUGUCUUCGGGGGACAGCUGGCCGAGGCCUCGGGGUGACCAGCCGAGCCGCCUGCUCGGGCCGGAUUCUCGGAGAAAAACCCUGGCGGCGAUGGCCCGGGCGUGGUGAUGACGUCGUCCUUCAGAGUGGAGAUCCUCGGACUGCGUUGCCGUCCGAGGCUAGGUCGGACCUUGCCGAAGGCGUUGUUGACGCCGAGGGUGCUGCGGCUCCCUUCAACUGUCCAGAUCCGAGCCUGCAGGAUCGGAUUAUCUUGUAGUGUGUGUUUUCUGCGGCCGCCGAGGCCAAAACACACCCUCGCCGUGUUGUAAAGCUGCGUCUCUUCUCCUCUUGUUUCGAGUAUCAGGACUUUUUCGUUGAUAACAGAAUUGUCUGUGUGAGCGAGAGUUGCUUCUCGCGGAAGGUGAUGAGUGAGGUAUCCGUAUCCCGGAGGCGUAGGAAUCCCUCAGCUCGAUCGGCCUUGCCGCUUACGUGCACUCUUACCCGCCCAUAGGGUUCUGUCACCGACGCAGUCGAGAAGGCUCAAAGAAUCGCUUCGGCAGAGAAGCUUUCGAACGUGAAGACUUGUUCGGUCCGCGGAAUCACUUAUCCGAACAUGAGUUACUUAUCACAGAAGGUGAUGAGUGAGGUAUCCGUAUCCCAGAGGCGUAGGAGUCCCUCGGCUCGGUCAGCCUUGGCUGCUUACGUGUACUCCGUCGUUUUCAGGAUCCACUUUCGAAGUAGUCGAAAAGCACGAAAGACAUUCUGGCAGAAAGGAUCUUUUUUCGAGGAAAAAAUUCGACGCAGAGGGGGUUCCCCCCUUUUAGCCCCCGAGGGAGGGUCGGGUUUUGCCGAGGCGAGGCCGACCCUUCCUUGAUGACAAAACUUUGCGUGGGAGCGAGGUAUAUGAACAACUUGAAAACAUCUUAAGGGUAGGAGCGACGUAGCUGUUGGAUGUUCCAAGCGUUGCUGUAGACCUCGCCUUGACUGUUGGCCAGCUUGUACGUUCAGGGCUUUAGAACUUUGGCGAUGACGAACGGCCCCUCCCAGGGGGGCGUGAGCUUGUGCCGCCCUCGGGCGUCUUGUCGCAGCCGAAGCACCAGGUCGCCCACCUAGAGGUGUCGGGUCCGGACCCCUCGAGCGUGGUAGCGUCGCAUGGACUGCUGGUACCGCGCCGAGUGUAGUAAGGCCUUGUCCCGAGCCUCUUCCAGCUGGUCCAGCGAGUCUUCUCGAUUAACUUGGUUGCUUUGGUCAGCAUAGGCCCUCGUCCUCGGGGAACCGUAUUCUAAGUCUGUGGGCAAGAUGGCCUCGGCCCCAUAGACUAGAAAGAACGGCGUGAAGCCCGUGGCUCGGCUCGGCGUUGUCCUCAGGCUCCAGACUACCGAGGGGAGUUCCUUCAUCCAUCGCUUGCCGAACUUGUUGAGGCCGUUGUAGAUUCGAGGCUUGAGUCCUUGUAGAAUCAUGCCGUUGGCACGCUCUACUUGCCCAUUCGUCAUGGGGUGAGCCACGGCGGCCCAGUCCACCCGGAUGUGGUGAUCCUCGCAGAAGUCCAGGAACUUUCUGCCGGUGAACUGGGUGCCGUUGUCGGUGAUGAUGGAGUUCGGGACCCCAAAACGAUGGAUGAUGUUGGUGAAGAACACCACCGCCUGCUCGGACCUGAUGCUGUUUAGGGGUCGGACCUCGAUCCACUUGGAGAAUUUGUCGAUGGCGACCAACAGGUGCGUGUAGCCCCCGGGUGCCUUCUGCAAGGGGCCGACGAGGUCCAGACCCCACACAGCGAAAGGCCAGGUGAUGGGUAUCGUCUGCAGAGCCUGAGCGGGCAGGUGGGUCUGCCUUGCGUAGAACUGACACCCUUCGCAGGUGCAGACAGUUCUAGUGGCGUCGGCCACCGCCGUUGUCCAGUAGAAACCUUGUCGGAAGGCAUUUCCGACAAGGGCUCGAGGUGCUGCGUGGUGGCCGCAAGCCCCCGAGUGUAUCUCUCGUAAGAGUUCCUGACCUUCGGCGAUGCAGAUGCACCGCUGGAGGAUGCCUGAGGGGCUGCGGUGCUAGAGCUCCUUCCCAUCUCCCAGCAAGACGAACGACUUGGCGCGCCGCGCCAACCGCCGAGCUUUGCCUCGGUCGAGGGGUAGCUCUCCUCGGUGGAGAUAAUGCAGGUACGGGGUCUACCAGUUUUGAUCAGGCGUGACCCCGUUUCGCUCCCCCUCGACGUGCAGCGUCUCGCCCUCGGGGGCCGAGGGUGCCUCGGGCUGAACCGAGGGUGGCUCGGGCCGGGCUGAGGGUGCCUCGGGCCGUGCCGAAGAUGCCUCGGACUGAGCCGAGGGUACCUCGGGCUAGGCCGAGGGUGCCUCGGGCGCGGGCAUGUCGUCGAUCUUGACGGAGGGUUGAUGCAGGUCUCGGGAGAAGACGUCCGGGGGAACCAUUGUUCGCCCCGAGGCUAUUUUAACCAGCUUGUCCACAGUCUCGUUGUAGCGCCGAGCGAUGUGGUUGAGCUCGAGCCCGUAGAACUUGUCUUCCAAGCGCCGAACCUCAUCGCAGUAGGCCUCCAUCUUCGGGUCGCGGCAGUGGGAGUUCUUCAUGACUUGGUCGAUGACGAGCUGCGAGUCACCGCGAGCGUCGAGGCGUCGGACCCCUAGCUCGAUGGCGAUCCGCAACCCGUUGACCAGAGCCUCGUACUCAGCCACAUUGUUGGACGCCGGGAAAUGGAGGCGUAGCACGUGGCGUAGGUGCUUCCCGAGGGGUGAGAUGAAGAGUAGGCCUGCGCCGGCUCCUGUCUUCAUCAGCGACCCGUCGAAGAACAUGGUCCAGAGCUCCGGUUGGAUCGGAGGUGUUGGGAGCUGGGUGUUGACCCAUUCAGCCACGAAGUCCGCCAGGACCUGGGACUUGAUGGCCUUCCGAGGGGCGAACGAGAUUGCUUCGCCCAUGAUUUCCACCGCCCACUUUGCAAUUCUACCCGAGGCCUCUCGGCACUGGAUGAUCUCCCCCAGGGGGAAGGAUGACACCACAGUUACCGGGUGAGACUCGAAGUAGUGUCGCAGCUUCCGCCGUGUCAGGAUCACCGCGUACAACAGCUUCUGAACUUGUGGGUAGCGGAUCUUGGUUUCGGAUAGUACCUCGCUGACGAAGUAGACUGGCCUCGGAACGGGCAAUGCAUGCCCCUCUUCUUGCCUCUCGACCACAAUCGCGGCGCUGACCACCUGAGUGGUCGCGACGACGUAGAUCAAGAGGGCUUCUCCGGCAGCUGGGGGCACCAAGAUAGGCGCAUUCGUGAGGAGCGCCUUCAGGUUCCCGAGGGCUUCCUCGGCCUUAGGGGUCCAAGUGAAGCACUCGGUCUUCCUUAAGAGGUGGUACAGAGGCAGACCUCUUUCGCCGAGGCGUGAGAUGAAGCGGCUCAGAGCCGCGAGACAUCCCAUGACCCUUUGUACGCCCUUCAAGUCCUUGAUGGGCCCCAUGCUGGUGAUGGCUGCGAUCUUCUCCGGGUUGGCUUCGAUGCCCCGCUCGGAGACGAUGAACCCCAAGAGCAUGCCUCGGGGUACCCCGAAGACACACUUUUUGGGAUUGAGCUUCACGCCUUUCGCCUUGAUACAUUGGAAUGUCACUUCAAGGUCAAAAAGGAGGUCAGAGGCUUUCCUCGUCUUGACUACGAUGUCAUCGACGUAGGCCUCGACCGUCCGGCCAAUGUGUUCGCCGAACACAUGGUUCAUGCACCGCUGGUAUGUCGCGCCCGCAUUCCUCAAGCCGAACGACAUGGUGACAUAGCAGUACAUGCCGAAGGGUGUGAUGAAAGAAGUCACGAGCUGGUCGGACUCCUUCAUCCUGAUUUGGUGAUACCCUGAGUAGGCAUCGAGGAAAGACAGGGUUUCGCACCCAGCAGUGGAAUCCACGAUUUGAUCGAUGCGAGGCAGAGGGUAGGGAACCUUCGGACAUGCUUUGUUUAUACCAGUGUAGUCUACACACAUCCGCCAUUUCUCUCCUUUCUUUCUCACAAGCACAGGGUUGGCAAGCCACUCGGGAUGGAAUACCUCUUUGAUGAACCCUGCCGCCAUCAGCUUGUGGAUCUCCUCGCCUAUGGCUCUGCGCUUCUCUUCGUCGAAUCGGCGCAGAGGCUGCUUGACGGGUCGGGCUCCGGCUCGGAUGUCCAGCGAGUGCUCGGUGACAUCCCUCGGUAUGCCGGUCAUGUCCGAGGGACUCCACGCGAAGACAUCGGCGUUCGCGCGGAGAAAGUCGACGAGCACUGCUUCCUAUUUGGGAUCGAGCUCGGAGCCGAUCUGGACUUGCUUGGAGGCGUCGCUGCUAGGGUCGAGGGGGACGGACUUAACCGUCUCCGCUGGCUCGAAGUUGCCGGCAUGACGCUUCACGUCUGGCACCUCCUUAGAGAGGCUUUCCAGGUCGGCGAUGAGGGCCUCGGACUCGGCGAGGGCCUCGGCGUACUCCACGCACUCCACGUCGCAUUCGAACGCGUGUUUGUACGUGGGGCCGACGGUGAUGACCCCGUUGGGGCCCGUCAUCUUGAGUUUGAGGUAGGUGUAGUUGGGGACGGCCAUGAACUUCGCGUAGCAUGGCCUUCCCAGUACCGCGUGGUAGGUUCCUCGGAACCCGACCACCUCGAACGUCAGGGUCUCCCUUCGGAAGUUGGAGGGUGUUCCGAAGCAGACGGGAAGGUCGAGUUGUCCGAGGGGCUGGACGCGCUUCCCGGGGAUGAUCCCAUGGAAAGGCGCAGCGCCUGCCCGGACCGAGGACAGAUCGACACGCAGGAGCCCGAGGGUCUCGGCGUAGAUGAUGUUGAGGUUGCUGCCUCCGUCCAUGAGGACCUUGGUGAGCCUGACGUCGCCGAUGACGGGGUCGACAACGAGCAGGUAUUUUCCCGGGCUCGGCACGUGGUCGGGGUGGUCGGCUUGGUCGAAGGUGAUGGGCUUGUCGGACUAGUCUAGGUAGACUGGCGCCGCCACCUUCACCGAACAGACCUCCCGACGCUCUUGCUUGCGGCGCCGAGCCGAGGCGUUCGCCGCUUGCCCACCGUAGAUCAUGAAGCAGUCGCGGACCUCGGGGAACUCUCCUGCCUGGUGAUCUUCCUUCUUGUCAUCGUCGCGAGCCCUGCCACCCUCCGCGGGUGGCCCGGCCCUGUGGAAGUGGCGCCGAAGCAUGACGCACUCCUCAAGGGUGUGCUUGACGGGCCCCUGGUGAUAGGGGCACGGCUCCUUGAGCACCUUGUCGAAGAGGUUGGCACCUCCGGGGGGUUUCCGAUGGUUCUUGUACUCGGCGGCGGCGACAAGGUCCGCAUCGGCGGCGUCGUGUUUUGCUUGCGACUUCUUCUUGCCCUUCUUCUUGGCGCCGCGCUGAGUUGACGCCUCGGGGGCAUCUUCUGGUGGGCGGCCCUGGGGCUGCUUGUCCUUCCGAAAGAUAGCCUCGACCGCCUCCUGGCCAGAGGCGAACUUGGUGGCGAUGUCCAUCAGCUCGCUCGCCCUGGUGGGGGUCUUGCGACCCAGCUUGCUCACCAGGUCGCGGCAGGUGGUGCCGGCGAGGAACACGCCGAUGACAUCCGAGUCGGUGAUGUUGGGCAGCUCGGUGCGCUGCUUCGAGAAUCGCCGGAUGUAGUCCCGGAGAGACUCUCCCGGCUGCUGUCGGUAGCUUCGGAGGUCCCAGGAAUUCCCAGGGCGCACGUACGUGCCCUGGAAAUUGCCGGCGAAGGCUUGGACCAGGUCGUCCCAGUUGGAGAUCUGCCCCGGAGGCAGGUGCUCCAACCAGGCGCGAGCGGUGUCGGAGAGGAACAGGGGGAGGUUGCGGAUGAUGAGGUUGUCAUCGUCCGUUCCACCCAGUUGGCAGGCCAGCCGGUAGUCCGCGAGCCACAGCUCCGGUCUUGUCUCCCCCGAGUACUUUGUGAUGGUAGUCGGGGGUCGGAACUGGGUCGGGAACGGCGCCCGUCGUAUGGCCCGACUGAAAGCCUGCGGACCGGGUGGUUCGGGCAAGGGACUCCGAUCCUCCCCGCUGUCGUAGCGUCCCCCACGCCUGGGGUGGUAGCCUCGGCGCACCCUCUUGUCGAGGUGAGCCCGACGGUCGCGGUGAUGGUGCUCGUUGCCGAGGCGUCCUGGGGCCGCAGGCGCAGUGUUGUGCGUGCGCCCGGUGUAGACCGAGGCUUCCCGCAUGAAUCGGGAAGUCGCGACAUGAUGUUCCGAGGGGUACCCCUGCCUUCGGGAGGCCGAGCUCUCGGCCCGUCGGACCGCGGCGCCUUCCAGGAGAUUCUUGAGCUCUCCCUGGAUUCGCCGCCCCUCAGUGGUUGAUGGCUCUGACAUCGCACGGAGAAGCAUUGCUGCUGCAGCCAGGUUCUGGCCGACCCCACUGGACGCGGGUGGCGGCCUGACCCUGACAUCGUCGGCGAUGCGGUGCUGGAAGCCCUGGGGUAGAUGACGCAUUUCUCCGGCCGGAGGUUGGCCCGCCCAUCCCUGCCCGACGUCCCGGCGGAUCGGCUCAAGCGCUCCUACUCCCUCGUCGAGCCUGGCCGGCACCCCGCGGAUUUGCUCGAGCUGCGGGUCAUGGCCCCCCGCCUGAACGGGGACCACAGCUAGCUCCCGUGGGAUGUCAGCGUGAGGCACCGGCCUAGGGAGAUCAUCGUCCUCCGGCAUGCCGAGAUGGUUGCCUUCGGAGGGACCCCCUAGAUCGAUGUGCAAACAUUCGCGGCUUGGGCCGCAGUCCUCGUCGCCGAGGCUGCGGCUACCGUCGGAACAGUCGGAAAUGCAGUAGUCGCAUGCGGUCAUAAAGUCCCGCAUGGCACUGGGGUUGCCAAGUCCAGAGAAAUUCCAACAGAAGUCGGGCACGUCGUCUUCCUCGGACCCCGAGGGCCUGUAGGUCGAGACGUCCGUCAGCCGGUCCCAGGGUGACCGCAUACGAUACCCCAGAGGGUUUGGACUCGCCUCUACGAGAGCGUCCGCCAAAGCGAAGCCGCUGGCGGGUCGAGGCUGAAUCCAAAGGGCAUGAGAUGGGAAUCGGUCGGUACCUCUUGGUCGACGGGCGGUGAUGCAAUCACGUCGGGGACUGACUGCACCAUCGUCUCAGGUACGAGGGUGACAUCCAGCAAGCUUUUCGCGAGCGUGCUGGCGUCGUCCGUUUGCUCGGAAUCUGCGUGUUGCGGGGAGACGACGCUCGUCCUCGUCUCAAACGCGAGGUCGAUGCCCGACGCGCCCCCCGUUGGGGCGCUGGCGCCGUCGACUCGCUCGACAGCCGACGAGGCGCUGUCUCCUGCUUGGCCUUGGUUGCCCCGCCUCCUCCUCCGUCGGCAGGGGAGAGGACAGGGUGAGCUCAAAUGGUGUUCUUCCACCACGCGGGGAAGACGUCGUCGAUUCCGCCGCCGGCGGGCGGGCUGUCGGCCGCCAUUGUCGCCGUCACACGGCGGGGGAAGGAGUAUCAUGUCGUAGCUGCCGUCGAGGGACAUGAACUCAAGACUCCCGAAACGGAGCACCGUCCUGGGUUGGAGAGGUUGCUGGAGACUGCCCAUCUGGAGCUUAACGGGAAGCUGUUCGUCAACACGUAGCAGGCCCCUACCUGGCGCGCCAACUGUCGGCGUUUCGAGACCGGGGGGUCCCUAGGCCGACGAGUGAAAUGUCGCCGCGUGCCCUAGCCCAGAUGGGUCGACGCGAGGCCGAGCGCGAAGGGGGGAGAAAGGUGGCCGGAGACAGGCGUGAGAGAGGUGGAAAUCCCGCGGCCUUCGUGUUCAUCCCACGCCCAGGUCGGGUGCGCUUGCAGUAGGGGAUUACAAGCGUCCACGCAGGAGAGGGAGCGAGCGGCUUCAAGCGAGCGCCUGUCUCGUCCUCGUCCCCGCGCGGCCAACCCUCUCUAAGAGGGCCCUGGUCCUUCCUUUUAUAGGCGUAAGGAGAGGAUCCAGGUGUACAAUGGGGGGUGUAGCAGAGUGCUACGCGUCUAGCGGAGGAGAGCUAGCGCCCUAAGUACACGCCAUCGUGGCGGCCGGAGAGGUUAUGGCGCCCAGUUCGUGUGAUGUCGUGGCCGUCGGAGGAGCGCUGGAGCCUGGCGGAGGGACAGCUGUCGGAGCUGUCGAGUCCUUGCUGACGUCCUCUUGCUUUCAUAAGGGGGUUGAGAGCCGCCGUCGUCAGGGAGCGUGCGGGGAGCCAUCAUUGCCUAUCUGGCGGAGCGAGCCAGAUGGGACGCCGGUCUCGUUUCCCGUAGCCUGAGUCAGCUUGGGGUAGGGUAAUGAUGGUGCCUCCCGUUGACGUGGCUGGUAUGCGCCCUAGGUUGGGCGAUGUGGAGGCUCCUCCGAGGUCGAGGUCGAGUCUGUCUUCCAUGGCCGUGGUCGAGUCCGAGCCCCUGGGUCGGGCGAGGCGGAGACCGUCGGCUGAGGCCAGGGCUGAGUCCGAGCCCUGGGGUCGGGCGAAGUGGAGUUCGUCGUCUUCUGGGGCUGAGCCCAAGUCCGAGCCCUGGGUCGGGCGGAGCGGAGUUCGCCGUCUUCCGGGGCUUAGCCCGAGUCCGAGCCCUGGGUCGGGCGGAGCGGAGUUCACCGUCUUCCGGGGCUUAGCCCGAGUCCGAGCCCUAGGUUGGGCGGAGCGGAGUUCGUCGUCUUCUGGGGCUGAGCCCAAGUCCGAGCCCUGGGUCGGGCGGAGCGGAGUUCGUCGUCUUCCGGGGCUUAGCCCGAGUCCGAGCCCUGGGUCGGGCGGGAGAGCUUCCUAUGGCACCUGAGGUCGGGCCUGACUGCCUGUCAGCCUCACUCUGUCAGAUGGCACUGCAGUCGGUGCGGCGAAUGCGGCGCUAUCCUUCUGUCAGGUCGGUCAGUGGAGCGGCGAAGUGACUGCGGUCACUUUGGCUCUGUCGACUGAAGGGCGCGCGUCAGGAUAAUGGUGUCAGGCCACCUUUGCAUUAAAUGCUCCUGCGAUUUGGUCAGUCGAUGCGACGAUUUGGUCAGGGUUGCUUCUUAGCGAAGACAGGGCCUCGGGCGAGCCGGAAAUGUGUUCGCCGCUGGAGGGGGGCCUCGGGCGAGACGGAGAUUCUCCGGGGUCGGCUGCCCUUGUCCGAGGCUAGGCUCGGGCGAGGCGUGAUCGAGUCCCUCGAAUGGACCGAUCCCUGACUUAAUCGCACCCAUCAGGCCUUCGCAGCUUUAUGCUGAUGGGGGUUACCAGCUGAGAAUUAAGAGCCUUGAGGGUACCCCUAAUUAUGGUCCCCGACAAGCGCCUUCCUUAAUGGACCAAUCAAGGAGGAAGUAUAUGUGGAACAACCCCCUAGCUUUGAUAUGCCAAAUAUAUGUCGUUGACAUUAUAUUUGGUUCUAGUAAUCAAAAGUCUUGUGAGGAGUUUAGCAGGGUGAUGAUGAAAACAUUCGAGAUGUUAAUGAUAGGCGAGUUGAACUACUUCCUUGGAUUUCAAGUGAAGCAACUCAAGGAAGGAACCUUCAUCUCCCAAACAAUGUACACUCAAAAUUUGCUCAAGAGGUUUGGGAUGAAGGAUGCUGUAACACCCCUGGUGUUACUAUAACUAAAACUUGAGCAUGGCAUCAUAAGCAUUGGCAUUGCAUAUGUGUGACACACCUAGAGUGCAUUCACUAGGCAAAAAUUUCAAACAAGUUGUAUUGUUUUAAUGUUUUUGCAAAUAGAACCCUGGUUAAAGGACUUAACCUUAAAUAGUGGUUAAAGGGGUAAAACUUAACCCAAGUUAAGAAAACCUAAAUACUUUAGGGUAAAAGUCAUAAAAUGACCCCAAAAAUGAACUUGAAUCACCUUUAUACCCUUGGGAUACCAGAAACCCUAAUUAAAACCCUGGAAAACCCUGAAACCAAACCCUAGGGGCUUAUAUGCAAAAUUGGUCCACUUUUGGACUAAAGUGCAAAAACCAAGCCAAAUAAAUAUCUUAAGUCCUUUGGUUCACAAAUAUGUGGACUUGAAAGCCAAACCCUAAGUUUUGGACUCAUUUGCAAAAAGGACCUUGAUUUUGAUUCCUAUGCUAAGUCUGAAAACAGGGUUGUAGGCCCAACUUUGGGGCUGUGUAACUUUCAAAAUAGUAAGAAUUCAUGAUAGGUGACCACAUCAAAGUUGAAGAUCAAUCUUAGGGGAACAACUUUGUUUAAGGAUUCAAGCCAUGGUCUUAUGUGAAAUUUGGAGAAAAAACCCAAUCAAAGAUGGGCUCUCAGACUGCUUGAAGUUGAAUUUCAGAGUUACAGUAAUUAUGAGAACCAAUCCUACUACUUCGCGUCCCGGGAUUUCCACAAUUGAAGAAAAAAGCGUAGGGCGUAUUGAUCAAAUUAUUGGACCCGUGCUGGAUAUCACUUUUCCCCCGGGCAAGUUGCCUUAUAUUUAUAAUGCUUUGAUAGUCAAGAGUCGAGACACUGCCGAUAAGCAAAUUAAUGUGACUUGUGAGGUACAACAAUUAUUAGGAAAUAAUCGAGUUAGAGCUGUGGCUAUGAGUGCUACAGAGGGGUUGAUGAGAGGAAUGGAAGUGAUUGACACGGGAACUCCUCUCAGUGUUCCAGUCGGUGGAGCUACUCUCGGACGAAUUUUUAACGUUCUUGGGGAGCCUAUUGACAAUUUGGGUCCUGUGGAUACUAGUGCAACAUUUCCUAUUCAUAGAUCUGCGCCUGCCUUUAUCGAGUUAGAUACGAAAUUAUCUAUCUUUGAAACAGGUAUUAAGGUGGUCGAUCUUUUAGCUCCCUAUCGAUGUGGAGGAAAAAUCGGACUGUUUGGGGGGGGCAGGAGUAGGUAAAACAGUACUCAUCAUGGAAUUAAUCAAUAACAUUGCUAAAGCUCAUGGAGGCGUAUCCGUAUUUGGCGGAGUAGGGGAACGGACUCGUGAAGGAAAUGAUCUUUAUAUGGAAAUGAAGGAAUCCGGAGUAAUUAAUGAAAAAAAUAUUGAGGAAUCAAAGGUAGCUCUAGUCUAUGGCCAAAUGAAUGAACCGCCGGGAGCUCGUAUGAGAGUUGGU
rnacentral:lncRNA from 1 species